UUUUUUUUUGUUAGUGUUUUGGCUUUACAUUGGAUCUUGAAGGUGAUUGAAGAAGAGUAUUAGUGCAAUAUAGAUAUCUGAAGAUAUGGUCUUCGUGAUCAAGUAUUGGAUGUUCACUUUGCAUUUUAUAGAUGUUGGUGUUAGAUAUCAGAUUAUGGGUAAAGAUAUUCGAUGUUUAAGCAUAUUGUUGGAUCAUAAGAAUUUGUGUUGAGGUGAACCUAUGUGAAGUUGUUAAUAGGAGGAAGUUGUUUGAGUCUUAAAAGUUUGCAUUCCUGGACUAAGAGUCAUUUUUUCUCUAGGAUAGAAAUUUUCCACAAAUUUUUGUAGACUUUUCCAAUGGCUAAUCUGUUCCAUUCCAUUUUCAUAAGCUAAUACAAACUAGUGAAGGGGUUGGAGUUGACUUUGGUUGACUUAAACUUUAAUAGAUAAUUUGUAUGAUGCGACUUAAAAUGGGAUGUUGACUUUUGGGGGCUAAGGCAAUUGAGUUGGAUAGAGUCUGGAGUUGGUGUAGAAAAAUGGUUGUUGCACUUUUUUAAAAAGGGUGACCCUUGUGCCUUUCUUCUAUAGCGUUUUGCUUGGUGAUAGGUUGCAUCUUGCAUUUUGUUAGGCUCUAUGAGAGUAGUGAGCUCUUACUAAUCUUGAUUUAGUCUUGGUGGCCCUGUGCUUUGGCUGAGGAUGGUAAUGUAGAAUUUAUUUAUUUGAAGUUGAGAUGUUAGUACCCGUACUAUAACUUUGUCUAUGAGGAGGUUGUGUACCAAUAUGAAUCCAUCUCAUGGUCUUCACUUUAGUUUCAGCUAAGUAGUAAUCAUGCAUAGCUAGCUUCUUCAAAGCAUGCUUAGAGCUAUUGGCUAAACUCAUUGGUAAGCUUAUUGUGGUUGAGUUGAAUUCGAGUGGUCAUUUAGUUUAUAUUUGUCCAUGAACCUUUAUCUCAUAUCUGGGGUAUUACGUUCAUAUUGGACAAAUAUAUAACUUGAUGGCGCGAGUUUAGUGUUCAGGUCUCGUGAAAGCAAGUUGAAGAGUGAUUGUUAGUUGUUUUGCAACUAAUUAUUGCUUGUAGACUUCGUCAAGGACUGUUGACACUUACUUCACUUGAUGAUGAUUUAGUAAUGAUGUACUUACUUUACCGAAUAGUGUUGCAAAGAAUCGUAUUGUUAGUCUUACAUGGGUUUUCCAUGUUAGCAUAUCAACUUUACCUCUAUUGAUAUUAUUUGGUUGCGUUUAGUUCGUAGUAUUGGAUUUCAUUUAGUCUUGGAUGUGAUGAAUCACUCCUUGAUGAUAUGUUAUCUGUAACUGAGUUUUGCUGAAGGAUUGGUCUCGGAUACUGAGCCUAGGGGGGAGGGGCUACAGGGAUAGUGAGGUCCAGGAACCAGUCUUGAAGGAACUCUCUAGUGGUGCUUCCAAACUGACUUGAGGUUGAGACUGGGGCCGAAGGGCCUUGGGUGGGAGUGAGCAUGGGCUUGGGUGGUGCCGGAGGGGCAAUCCAAGGAAGUGUUCAAGAGCAGCUCCCACUCCCGAAAAGGAAACCGAUUGCGGUGCUCCCGGCUCAUGUGGAGUGGUGCCCCACUUGAAUACCUUGUGGCUCAUUGGUCCUCGCCCUUCCUAGGGGCUUGGGCCUUCCCUUCGGGAUGGAAGUGGGGGGGUAAAGGUACCCAUACCGGGCCGUUAGGCCACGGUGUUUCGCCCCAACGUCCCGAAGCAAGUGCUGCACCCAAGGCUUGGGAUUUAGAGAGUCCCAUGAUCAAGUCUUGUUGUACCAAGGGGUGUUAGGAACCUGGAGGCUUGCUGUGCUUGGUUGCUUGUGCCUGCGGGGAGUGUAGCCGAACCUUAAGUCCAGUCUAACCCGAGGAGGGGGAUUGGGAGAGAUUUGGGAAUCCCUAGAUGGAUGGCUAACACUCCGUUGCUCGUGUAGUGAGUAGCUGAAACCAAGUAGGACCAAGUAGGAGCUGGUACAAUAGGCGAGAACCUUGGCAAGGGAACUUAGCACAAGCCAAGGCAGUGUUGGUCGGAUAGACGAGGUAAGCUGGCAAAUUGGAAAGGAAAAAUUUGUGGCUAACAAUUUGGUAUUGGAGCUAACAACCGUGAACUUUUUCUGGAGUUGUUUCCUUAGCGGUAUUCUAGACUAGAGUAUGCAUCGACGAGGACGUCAAUCUUCCCUAAGGGGGGGAGAGUAUCGCGAAUGUGAUUUCGAGUAUCAAAAGUUACCUAUUGCCUAGUCCUUUCGGAUAUUCUUUCCUUACUGCCACGAUGGCAGGAGGUCGGUAUUGCUGGACCCAUUAUCAGUUCGCACUUAAGAUAGUUGAGAAAUUGGUCAAUGAACAUGCACUUAAAUUGGAUAAACAUAAGGUAAGAACCCUAUGUAUUUCUUGCUAAUCAUACUCAGCCUGGUUUGAGAAACCUGUGUCAUUGGCUUACACUUGCUAGUGUCAAGAACCUCCACAAUAUUGAGCUUGGUCCCUUAAUAUCGCUAAAUGAUAGAUUACCGUGUCUACCAAACACCCUCGUUAUUAUGCCUUUUGUGUUAGUCUCAUUUCAGUCCCAAAUGCUAUUUAUGGAAAGUGUCCAAAUUUGCUCAUUUGGCAUAUCUAUGGAAUGUAGAGAUUGACAUGAAUACAAUGGUGUUCGUCCCAUGUCCAAAUUCGUAAUCUAGGGACAUUCCAUAUUUAGUAAGUUUCAAGCUUGUUCCAGAGACUAACUCUUGAUACUAAGGGAGGCUUGGGGUGAAAGCCCAAAGUGUGUGUUCCUCAAGGGGGGGGUUAUGAGGGGUUCCAAAUGUAUAAUAGGGAUAGUAGGUAGGUUGGGGCAUGGCCGAUCAACUUGAGGCAUAGUUUAGCUCCCACUUGCGCACCUGUCCUUGUUUUGCGUCUGGCUUGGGUCUAAACCCAAGUUCCAUUCCAUGCUACCUAGUGGAGUACCUAUAUCCUCACGUUAGGCCACUGGUAUGCCGAAAUAGCGCCAAACUCUGUUUGGCUCUGUUUUGCAUGCUAGUCCUAGCAUUGGGAUGUUAGUUGCUCUAAAGUUGCUCCUUGCUUCUGUCCCUUCGCUCCUUUGGCUAUAUGCUUGAGAAUCGUUCCGUGCUUUAGUGCCUUAGCUCCAUGCUUGGGAGUUUGGCACCGUUUCUUUGUUCAGUGGCACAAGGCCCUGAACCUUGGGUUCCACACCACUGUCUUAUGGACACGUGGCAUGUGACACGUGGCAGAUGGAUUGUGGUUAUCCUAUGGUAAAUCACCAUAGGAUAAAGGGUCAAAACCACGUGCGCUAUAGAUUUAAAAUCACAAUAUUUUGAUCAUCAAUUGAGCAACACAACGAGCAAUGCCAUUAUUAUUACUUCAAAGAUUUAUGUGAGUAUCAAAUACUAACUCAGUUCAAUAAAAUGCAACAUAAAUGCCACAUCCCACCGAUAGAAAUUUACAACACCUAAGGCCACUAACUUUUGUUCACAACACUGACAAGCUCAUGCCACUCUUUUUCUAACCAAACUCAAAACUAAUCCAACACCAAGCUACUCAAAAAGUAAUAGCAAGGUUUCCCGGAAAAGAAUUGAGCAUUGUAACCCAAAUCUUCCAAUAGCAAGCAUAGACAAAAUGGUUUGGUGCUUCACUAUUAUCCAUCCCAUGACUCACCACUUAUAAAACUAUCAUUUCUAACUUGUAUCAAAGUAGGGACUCUUGAUUGCAUGAUGUGAAUAUGAGCAAUGAGUCAUACCUCGUUGCAAAUUAUCUUUUCAAGAAGAGAAAAUGAUUUACAUGUUUGAUACUUUGUCCCUAAAAACUCUCUUUUCAGUCUCAUAUUUGACUAAACCUCAAGCUUGUGUUUGCACUGCCUUCAGUCCAAUCUAAGAAAGUUUAUGAGAGAGCACGGCAAUGAUUACUUGAAUCAAUAGACUUAUCCCUAUAGUCUUGAUUGUUCCACUUAUAAUCAUGCCUCGGAAGGAUCCAUUAGUGCCGUGCUAAACAACUACGGACCGGAAUGUUUACUUUCACCCAUGGUACAAGGAACAACUCAUGGAACCAUUGAUAACUAACACUAAUCUUGCCAACUCAAAGUAUAACCUUGAGUUGCUAAUGUGCCUCACUCACGAGCCCAAGCACAAACUCGUGCAAACGGAACAACUUAAUCCCUCUUAUGAGCCCAAGAGUAAGCUCACAUAAUAUGGUAUAAAAGGUAACCAGAAUCCAUACCCAGGAAUGAAUAUGAAGUCUUUGCACCCAAACGUGACCCACUUGGAUCAUUGUUUUCAUCUCUGUAUAUGCAAUGAGACUAGUUGCCCAAUCUCAUUAGAUAGUACUCGUCGAGACUCAUUCUCUAAUACCAAAUGUAGCGCACAUGGUAUUUACCUUUUAUCCUAUGGUGAUUUACUGUAGGAUAACCACAAAACAGAACCUAAACCCUCCAUGUGCCACGUGUCAUAUGCCACGUGUCCAAAGGACAAUAGUGUGGAACCCAAGUUUCAGGGCCUUGGACCAUUGAAUGAAGGAACGGUACCAAACUCCCAAGGAGCAACAAAACUGGACCACGGAGCAACUCCUGAGCAUACAACCCAAGGAGCAAAGGGAUAGAAGCAUGGAGCAACUUGGAUCAGUCCUAGAGCAACUAGCAUCUUAAUGCCAGAACCAACACGCAAAAUGGAGCUAAACAGAGAUUAGUGCUAUUUCAACAUACCAGUGGCCUAACACAAGGAUAUGGGUACUCCACCAGCUAACAUGGAAUGGAACUUGGGCUUAAACUCAAUUUAGACGCAGAACAAGACGCAAGUGGGAGCUAGACUAUGCCUCAGGUUGGUUGGCCAUACCCAACUUACCCACUAUCCCUACUAUACAUUUAGAACCCCUGAGGAACACACGCUUUGGGCUUUCACCCCAAGCCUCCCUUAGUAUCAGGAGUUAUUCUCUGGGAUAAGCUCGAAACUUAUUAAAUAUGGAAUGUUUCUAGAUUGCAAAUUUGGACACGGGACAAACACCAUUGUGUUUUGGACGAUCUCUACACUCCGUAAAUAUACCAAAUGAUCAAAUUUGGACACUUUCCAUUAAUAGCAUUUGGGAUUGGAAUGAGACUAACAUAAAAGAGCAUGAUAGCGAGGGUAUUUGGCAAACACAAUAAACUAUCAUCCAGCGAUAUUGAGGGACUAGUCUCAAUAUGCAAGGGUUCUUGUCAAGGCAGUGCAAGACAGAGCAAAAGAGAACUAAGAGCCAAGCCAAGUAUUCUCAGUUAGAAACACAUAAGAAUUCCUACCUUAUUUCCAUUUGGCUAAAUACAGGUGCUAAGCCUAAUAAACUAACACUUGAACAAGAGGGGUUGAUAAAGGGAACUAACAAUACCGACCUCCUGCUGUCGUGGUAGUAAGGAAAGAGUGUCUGUAAAGACUGGCUGAUAGAUGACUUUCAAUACCCGAAGUCACAUUCGUGACAGUUCCUUUUUCAAUUUGGCGGGAUACUAUCACAAGUUUGUCUACAAUUUUGCAAGAAUUGCCUUUUCAUUGAUUGAGUUAACAAAGAGUAAUAUAUCAUUUUAUUAGACACUAGCUUGUCAAUAUGCUUUUGUACAGUUGAAGGAGAUCUUGACUACGGUUCCUAUUUUCAGGAUUCUAGAUCUUGAUAAACCCUUCGAAGUCCAUUGUGAUGCAUCUGGCUAUGCUAUAGAUGCCAUGUUACAGCAAGAUUGUGACAAAGCAGUUGGUGUUACGCUAAGGCGACAUGGUUGUUCCGUUGCAUUCUAUUCCAAGAAAUUGAAUGAAACCCAACAAAGAUGGCCAACACAUGAGAAAGAAAUGUUUGCUAUAGUGUCAGCAUUGGAACAUUGGAGACACUAUUUGGGUGGCCAUACCAAGGUUCAUACAAAUAGUAACACACUGAGCUACUUUGCUAUGCAGUCUAAGCUUACAGCGAAGUAGGCUCGUUGGCAAGAGAAGCUCGCUAGAUUUGAUAUUGAAAUCAUCUAUAAACCUGGUAAAGACAAUAUUCUUCUAGAUGUGUUGAGUCAUCAAGCUAGUUCCAGGCAAUAUCGGCAAUUAGUUCAAACUGGUUAGAGGAUGUUCGGGCUUCGUAUGGAAGUGAUCCAUUGGCAAAGACAAUCUUGCACUGUGCGGAGUUGUCGAAGCAAAACCUUGGUAGUGAAGCGGCAAAAGUUGCUAGUCGAACCAAUAUGAAACUUCACUUUUCAAUUCGGGGCUAUGAGGAGUUCCAAAUGUAUAGUAGGGAUAGUGGUUGGAAUGCAUGUUUGACCACUUGAAACAUUAGUUUGGCUCCCACUGGGCCAUGUUUUCCCUUGUUUUGCAUUUAACCUAGGUCUAAGCCUAAGCUCCAUACUACUCUAGUCGGUGGGGUACCCUCCUCCUCGUGUUAUGCCACCAGUAUGCCAAAAUUGCGUUACACUCUAUUUGAUACCAUUUUGCAUGCAGGUGCUGAAUACGGGGAGCUGGUGCUUGUGGGAUUGUACCAAACCCUCGUUUGGUAAUGCAAUGAGCGUGAAGUUUGGUUCCAAAUUCAUGUGCGCUACAUUUGGUAUUAGAGGGAGGUCUUAGCGAUUCCUAUCCAACUUUUUUCAAAUUUGUUGACUUACGUUGCAUACACAGAGACUUUUCUAGUAGAUUUUAAGCGACCAGCAUAAGAUUAGUUGGAUUGCACCAUUCGGUAAGAACAUUGUAUGCAUGUUUAGUUACUAAUAGAGGUAUGCAUGCAGCUAGUGGGAUGGUGAAAAGGAACUGUGCUGAUAACGCUAAAACCUUUAGACAAGUGAAUUGAGAGGAAGAAACUCCUGCAAAGGGAAGUUCACAAAUUGAAGAAGGACAACAAGAAGAGGAAGAAAAAAGUUGAGGAAGCUAAACUAGCUAAAUCUAAGCAACCAGACUCCUCUUCAAGUUUUGACGACGAUGAAGUUUUGCAACCACCUUACACAAGUUUCAAAGUUCAAGCCUUCAAAACCACCCAAUUUUAGAGGCAUGCAGGACUAUUAGGUUUUGGAAGACUAGGUAUACGAUAGGGAAAAUUAUUUCAUAGCGGUAGAUGUAGAUGAUCAUAGGAAAGUUGCGUGCAUGCAAUCCUUUCUCAGAUCAUGCCAAAACUUGGUGGCGCCAAAUGUGUGCUGAAAAAGGGUAGACUAGAAGUUAGACCAAGAUGCGGUCUUGUAUCCAUAAGGAAUACUUGCCAGAUGAUCUUGGUCUGAGACUUCACACAGAGCUGUGGUAGUUAAAGCAGCAAGGGGACCUUAUGCAUUAUGUUAAUACGUUUGCUCAGAAGCGCAUUAUGAUUGCAAAUAUGAGUGAUGAAGAUGCUCGAAGUUAUUUCCUGGACGGUUUGGGUUCACUUUCUUGCAAUGAGAUUUUGAAGUUUAAGCCAAAAAUGUACCUAGAGUAUAAGGAGGUAGCACAACAAGUUGCCUUUAGUCACUCACUCAUUGAACAAUAUCAACAACUGUAUGCUAGUACCUCAAACAAGAAUAAGAAUUCUAGGAAUAAGCAAGGUGAUCGGAAAUAGAGGGUGGAAGGAAUGUUCCACCCUAGAGGCUCACAAAUAACAAUUAACAAAUAUGGUGGUGGUUGGUGACCAUUAGCAGCUUCUUCUGGUCCUAGGCCCUUUGUUCCUCCUCUUGGUGGGUACAAAUAGCAGCAACCUAUGAAAUCUGCUCUAGGUAGAAUGGGUAGUGUGGGUUAUUGCUUCCAUUGUGGAGAGUCAAGACAUAGGUCCUCGAGAUAUCCCAACAAACAUAAAACAAGGUCUUGUGUUAAUGUCAUAAGGGAAGACAGUGGUGGUGAAGUUAAGGGGGUUGACAAGUUGGUCAAUACAAACUAUAAGGAACAGGAGAUGAGUUACUUUCAUUACUUUCCUCAAGCUUUUCUCACAAUCAAUGCAAACACUAAUCUAUUGAUGUAUCUGGUAAGCUUUGUCCCCAGACAUUGAAUCCGAGUCAUGAUUGAUACGGGAGCUACAUAAAGUGUGAUAUCCAAAGAUUUAGUUAAAUUGUUAAGAUUGAAUACUGAGCAAAUGUUGCCCAUACACUUUUGGUUUGUAAAAGGUGGGCAAGUAGCCAGAAAAUUUGUGAGUGAUGUUCCAAUAAAAAUAUCCAAGUGGAAAGAAAGAGUGGACUUGGUAGUGUUGAAGAUACCAAAUUUUCAGAUGGUGUUUGGUAUGGAUUUCUUCAAUAAAUAUAUUAAAGAGAUUGAUAGUGCUAGACAAAAUUGCAUCACAUUGAGGUUAGAAGGAUGUCCUAAUGUGUCCUCCAGUUGCAAAAGUGCUCCUCAAAGGAUUGGGAUGCUAAGUUCUUGAUUGCAAGAGCCGCUCGAAAAACAGCUAAGAAUUGAUGUCAAACCUUUUGGAUUCAAGUGAUGGAAGUUGAGGGUGAUUGUCGCGAAUGUGACUUCGGGUAUCGAAAGAUACUUGUCAGCCAGUCCUUAUAGACACUCUCUCCUUACUGCCAUGACAGCAGAAGGUUGGUACAAUUGGUUCCCUUUAUCAUUCCCAUUUGAGCUAGUUGAGAAAUUAGUCAAUGACCUUGUACUUAAAUUGGAUAAACAUAAGGUAGGAACCUUAUGUGUUUCUUGUUGAGCAUACUCAGUUUGGUUUGAGAAACUUGUGUCAUUGUCUUGCACUUGCUAGUAUCAGGAACCCCCGUGAUAUUGAGAUUAGUCCCUCAAUAUUUGCUAGAUGAUAUCUUACCGUGUCUGCCAAACACCCUCGCUAUCAUGCCCUUUGUGUUUACUUUUUAUAAUUUUUAUAGAAGUGCUCCCACCUGUAAAUGUAUGUAUUUAUAAACUGUCUUAAGUGAACUUUCUAUGUAUUUUCACAGCUGCAGUCCCUUUGGAUUGGUGGACAGAGAAAAAUUUAUCAUAGAAUGAUUCCAUUUUGCAUGCAUGGAGCUUUGGGUCAUUCAUCAAACGAUUUGUUUUUUUCUACUAUAGUGGAGCUGGGAUCCUGGCUCAAGUGUAAACUAUAAAAGGCUGGAAAAGUGCACAAGAUUUAUCACCCAGAUUAAAAUUCUUUCAAAACAUGCAGGUCCCGAAUGCUAUUUAUGGAAAGUGUCUAGAUUCGCUCAUAUGGCAUAUCUACAGAAUGUAGAGAUUAGCCUAAACACAAUGGUGUUUGUCCUAUGCCCAAAUUCGCAAUCUAAGGAUAUUCCAUAUUUAGUAAGUUUCGAGCUUGUCCUAGAGACUAACUCCUGGUACUAAGGGAGGCUUGGGGUGAAAGCCCAAAGUGUGUGUUCCUCAAGAAGGGGGGGGGCUAUAGGGGGUUCCAAAUGUAUAGUAGGGAUAGUGGUUGGAAUGCAUGUCUGACCACUUGAGACAUUAGUUUGGCUCCCACUGGGCUGUGUCAUUCCUUGUUCUGUGUCCGACUUGGGUUUAAGCCCAAGCUCCAUGCUGCUCUAAUCAGUGGGGUACCCUCCUCCUCUUGUUAGGACACUGGUAUGCCAAAAUUGUGCCAAAUUCCGUUUAACACCAUUUUGUGUGCAGGUGCUGGAUACGGGGAGCUAGUGCUCGUGGGAUUGUACCGGACUCUUGUUUUGUAGCGCAACGGGCUUAGAGUUCGGCUCCAAAUUCAAGUGUGCUACAGUGAUGGUGACUCAAUUUAAAUUGGUGACAGGGUUGAUACUGUACCAAAUAUACUAGAUAUUAGAGUUGUUGGUGUGGAAUCAAAAUAUCUUUUUGAAGGAUUUUCUACUAGGGCUACCUUUUAGCCAUAAGGUUGAUUAUCAAAUUGAGGUCUUUCCGAGUUCUAAACCACCUACAAAAACUCCGUAUCAUUUAAACAUCAAGGAGAUGGCUAAACUCGAGAAGCAACUCACAGAGCUUCUUGAUUGACAAAGGUCAUAUUUGACUAAACAAGUCAUCUUAUGAAGUGCUAGUUCUUUUUGUUAUGAAAAAUGAUGGAACUAUAUUGACUAUUGAGCACUUAACAAGAUCACAAUCAAAAUUUAUCUUGUAUUGAUGACUUUUUUAACCAACUCUUAAAGGCUAAGUAUUUUAUGCAACUUAAUUUGUGGUCCAGGUAUCAUCAGAUAUGAGUGGCGGAUCAAGAUGUGGUGAAGACAGCCUUUAAGACUCGAUAUAAAUCUUAUGAGUUCCUUGUCAUGCCAUUUGGGUUAUGCAAUGCUCUAGCAACAUUCAACACAAUGAUGAAUAGAAUAUUUAGAGAUUAUUUGGACACAUUUGUUGUCUUAUAUAUUAACAAUGUUCUAGUCUUUAGUGAAAUGUUGGAGGAUCAUUUGAAACACUUUGAGUUGGUGUUUCAAAAAUUGCGUGAACACAAAUUGUAUGCUAAGGAAAGUAAAUGUGCUUUUGGACAAUUGCACAUGAACUUUCUUGGACAUAUAAUUGGUGUGGCUUAAUUGAGGUGGAUCCAAAGAAGGUGGAAGUGGUGAAGUCCUAGGAAAUCCCGACCACUAUAUCAAAUGUUUGUUCCUUUCUAGGUUUGGCAGGAUACUAUUGCAAGUUUGUCUGCAAUUUUGCAAGAGUUGCUCUUUAGUUGACUGAGUUAAUGAAAAAUAGUAUACUAUUUCAUUGGACACUAGCUUGUCAGCGUGUUUUUAUAUGGUUGAAGGAGAUCUUGACUACGGUUCCUGUUCUCAGGAUCCCGAAUCUUGAUAAACCCUUUGAAGUGCAUUGUGAUGCAUUUGGCUAUGCUAUAGAUGCUAUAUUAUAACAAGAUUGUGACAAAGCGGUUGGUGUUAGGCUAAGGCGACAUGGUUGUCCCGUUGCAUUCUAUUCCAAGAAAUUGGAUGAAACCCAAUAAAGAUGGCCAAUGCAUGAGAAAGAGAUGUUUGCCAUAAUGUCUGCAUUAGAACACUAUAGACAUUAUUUGGGUGGACAUACCAAGGUUUAUACAGAUAGUAACACAUUGAGCUACUUUGCUACGCAACUUAAGCUUACGCUAAAGUAGGCUCGUUGGUAAGAGAAGCUCGCUAGAUUUGAUAUUGAAAUCAUCUAUAAACCUAGUAAAGGCAAUAUUAUUCUAAAUGCAUUGAGUCGUCAGGCUCAGUUUUGGGCAAUAUCGGCAAUCAGUUUGGACUGGUUGGAAGACGUUCGAGCUUCAUAUGGAAGUGAUCAAUUGGCAAAGGAAAUCUUACACUGUAUGGAGUUUUUGAAGCAAAACCCUAGUAGCGAAGUGGCAAAAGUUGCUAGUCGAACAAUGUUAAGCUUCACUUCUCAGUUCGGGAUGGGCUUAUAUUCUAUAAGCAAGAAAGAUCAUAUCUUCCCUCUAAGAAUCUAUAGUAGUUGUUUCUGCAAAAACAUCAUGAUGUUCCAAUAACGGGACAUGGUGGAAAGUGAAAGACUCUAGCUUCAUUGAAAAAGAGAUUUUUCUGGUCUAGUAUGGAACAUGAUGUAGCGGACUAUGCCUGUUCUUGCCCUAUAUGCCAACAAUGUAAAUGCAGAACUGAGAAGCAAGUUAAAAAGUUGCAGUGCAUUCUAGCACUAGUAUGGCCAUUUCAAAGUGUGAUACUUAAUUUUGUCACUUGCUUGCCGAAGUCUAAGGGUUAUGAUACUUUGAUGGUGGUUGUGGAUCGGUUGUUGAAGAUUGCACACUUCAUUCCAACUGUGGGAAUAGUGAAUGUGAAACAAGCAACAAAGUUUUUUUUUCGUAAAGUAGUGCGGGUUCGUGGUCUUCCUGAAGAGAUGAUCUCGGAUAGAGAUUUGAGAUUUCUAGGGAAGUUUUGGGGCACACUAUUCUAGCUAUUUGGUACCAAGUUGAAGUUUAGUAUGGCUUAUCAUCCACAAAUUGAUGGGCAGACCAAACAUGUAGGUUAGGUCCGAGAUCGAGUCUGAGACCAAGUUGAGGAUUAUCUGCGGUACUAUGUCGCGGUAGACCAAUGUAACUGGGUUGAGUAUUUGGACACAGCAAAAUUUUGUUAUAACAACACUUUUCACAAUGCUAUUGCUUGUUCUCCAUGAGAGAUGCUGUAAAGGAAUGCUUGUGGGGUGCCUCAAUAGAUUGUUGUACUAAAACCAAUGUCUGAAGUGUUGGUCCUUGCCAUUGAGACUUAUAUGGAGCAAUUAUGCCAAGGUUGGUCUAGAGCUACUGAGGCGAUGGGCAAAGAUCAAGAUAGGUAUCAAUAUAAUAAGGAUCAGCAUCGUUGGGAUGUAUUCUAUCAAGUGGAAGAUCAAGUGUGGCUAUCUUCCCAAAACUUAAAUAUUAAGGGAUCUUUAUCUAGGAAACUAUUACCACAAUAUAUUGGACCCUAUCGGGUGUUGAAAUGAAUUGGUGAUAUAUUCUAUCGGUUAGAUCUUCCUACAAAGAUGUCCAAUGUUCAUAAUGUAUUUCAUGCCAAUCUAUUGGCUCCUUACACUAUGGAUGUUGCACGUCAAGGGGAGAUUCGUCCACCACCAAAAGUUAUGGAUGGUGAACCUAAAUAUGAAGUGGAUGCUAUUUUAGCUACACGUUGGCUUAAAUGUACCAAACGUUGAGAGUAUCUAAUUAAGUGGAAAGGUUACCUAACUUGGAUUCCAUCUUAGGUCCAUCUUAGACUCCAUCUCGAGUCCAUCUUAGACUCUAUCAUAAACUCUAUAUUGGGUCUAUCUUGAAUCCAUAUCAAACUCCAUCUUGAACUCUAUCUCAAGUUUAUAUUGGACUCCAUCAUGGACUCCAUCUUGGGUCCAUUUUGGCUCCAUAUCAGACUUUAUCUCGGACUCCAUCUUGGAUUCCUUCUUGGACUCUACCUUGGACUUGUUCUUGACACUUCAAUAUGUCACAAUAUCUACCAUGUGUUAGUCUUUCUUGUGUCCCUUUUUAGAAAUUCCUUCACCAAUUGCUUCAUGCCCGUCCCUCGAGCAUUUUGUUUAGAGUCACUCCCACUCUCAACUUUCCAAGUCGGAGCCUUUGGUCCAAACAUGUUAUGCUUGUUAGACUUCUGCUUCGACCACUACCAUGUGGCACCCUUUUUGCUCCACUUUGGACCUUAAGGGUUGUGUCUCACAAUGCCUAAUAGUAGACAUGAUGGCCAUGAUUAUGUCCUUGCCCUUGUUUUUGAACUCAAGCAGCAGCAACAUCAACCUCUAUUAAAAUAGGACCAUCUCUAUCUUGAACUUGUUCUUAACAUUUCAAUGUGUCAUAAUACCUACCAUGUGUUAGUCCUUCUUGUGUCCCUUUUUAGAGAUUCCUUCACCAAUUGCUUCAUGCUCAUCCCUCGAGCAUUUUGUUCAGAGUUCCACUCCCACUCUCAACUUUUCAAGUCAGAGCCUUUGGUCCAAACAUGUUACGCUUGUUAGACUUCUGCUUCAACCACUACCAUGUGGCACCCUUUUUGCUCCACUUUGGACCUUAAGGGUUGUGUCUCACAAUGCCUAAUAGUAGACAUGAUGGCCAUGACUAUGUCCUUGCCCUUGUUUUUGAACUCAAGCAGCAGCAACAUCAACCUCUAUUAAAAUAGGACCAUCUCUAUCUUGAACUUGUUCUUAACAUUUCAAUGUGUCAUAAUACCUACCAUGUGUUAGUCCUUCUUGUGUCCCUUUUUAGAGAUUCCUUCACCAAUUGCUUCAUGCUCAUCCCUCGAGCAUUUUGUUCAGAGUUCCACUCCCACUCUCAACUUUUCAAGUCAGAGCCUUUGGUCCAAACAUGUUACGCUUGUUAGACUUCUGCUUCAACCACUACCAUGUGGCACCCUUUUUGCUCCACUUUGGGGCUUAAAAGUUGUGUCUCACAAUGCCUAAUAGUGGACAUAAUGGCCAUGAAUUUGUCUUUGCCCUUGUUUUUGAACUCAAGCAGUAGCAACAUCAACCUCUAUUGAAAUAGGACCAUCUCCUAUAUGAAGUGAAGUUAAAGGACGUGCAAUGAAAAGUGGAAGAAGAUGAUAUCUAAUAACAUUAUGCCAAGCCAAAAGCAUUGUCAAAGGUUAUUGGAGUAAGUGCAUGCANNNNNNNNNNNNNNNNNNNNNNNNNNNNNNNNNNNNNNNNNNNNNNNNNNNNNNNNNNNNNNNNNNNNNNNNNNNNNNNNNNNNNNNNNNNNNNNNNNNNNNNNNNNNNNNNNNNNNNNNNNNNNNNNNNNNNNNNNNNNNNNNNNNNNNNNNNNNNNNNNNNNNNNNNNNNNNNNNNNNNNNNNNNNNNNNNNNNNNNNNNNNNNNNNNNNNNNNNNNNNNNNNNNNNNNNNNNNNNNNNNNNNNNNNNNNNNNNNNNNNNNNNNNNNNNNNNNNNNNNNNNNNNNNNNNNNNNNNNNNNNNNNNNNNNNNNNNNNNNNNNNNNNNNNNNNNNNNNNNNNNNNNNNNNNNNNNNNNNNNNNNNNNNNNNNNNNNNNNNNNNNNNNNNNNNNNNNNNNNNNNNNNNNNNNNNNNNNNNNNNNNNNNNNNNNNNNNNNNNNNNNNNNNNNNNNNNNNNNNNNNNNNNNNNNNNNNNNNNNNNNNNNNNNNNNNNNNNNNNNNNNNNNNNNNNNNNNNNNNNNNNNNNNNNNNNNNNNNNNNNNNNNNNNNNNNNNNNNNNNNNNNNNNNNNNNNNNNNNNNNNNNNNNNNNNNNNNNNNNNNNNNNNNNNNNNNNNNNNNNNNNNNNNNNNNNNNNNNNNNNNNNNNNNNNNNNNNNNNNNNNNNNNNNNNNNNNNNNNNNNNNNNNNNNNNNNNNNNNNNNNNNNNNNNNNNNNNNNNNNNNNNNNNNNNNNNNNNNNNNNNNNNNNNNNNNNNNNNNNNNNNNNNNNNNNNNNNNNNNNNNNNNNNNNNNNNNNNNNNNNNNNNNNNNNNNNNNNAGUGCUGACACAACAUUUUAACUUGAUCUGUUUUGGCAUAUUUAGCUCUACAUAUAGUAUAAGGCUCCAGAAACAAAUGCCAAAUUGCAUCACUGACUUAAAUGGCCUUGAUACAAUUGUUAGAAGAUAUCAUCACAAUUGUUGACAUGUCCAAAUGGGCAUUUGAAGAUGUCUGGGAGAAUGCUCUAAUCCAUAUGAAUGGUUGCACUCAAACUAUUGUACCAUUAUUGUGCCAUCCCUUGGAGACAUGUGGGAAACUUAUGCAAGCAUUGAGUAUCAUCCCAAGAAUGAUAUAUAGCAAUCACCAUAAAGUGAUUGAACUAAUGAUACACAUCAUCCCUAGGAUUCUCAUCAAAGAACUUUAGCUAAAUGCGAGGAUUGGUAGCAAGAGUAAGAGGAGUUGUACCAUGCACUGUGAAUGUUGUUAUCAAUUGAGUCAGAUUGUUCAAUUACAACCACACAACAUUAAGUAAUUACACCAACUGCUGCUCUAUAGUCAAAGGAGGAGACUGUUAUACUAUAAAAAUAAACAAAAAGAAAAAAGCAAAAGAGAAAAAACUUGAAAAAGCUAUAAGGAAAGUGAGAUCUAGAUAAUGCUAAGGCUAGGUCUAAACCAAAAAUCCCAAAUCUAAGCACUUCUUAGGGAUAAUCAAAAUUGCACUUCUCCUCCACCAAUGUGAGUGCAUAAAAUAUGAAAAUAGAAUACAAAAAUAUGCAUCUUUAUUAACUAAAAAACCUUAGCUUAUAUACAGAAGCGAGUGAAAUCAAUCUAAUGGCUAUUGAAAUCCACUAUACUAAUAUUAGUGUACGGCUGUUAAUAUUAGUAUAUGGCAUCAUAACUGUACACUUGAACCAUGCUCUAUUUCGUUAAAGUGGGAUUUAUUCAGUAAAAUGGGACUAGGUACAAAUUUUCAAGUAUUUGAAAAUGACGUGAAAUUAUAUGUUUUUUGUCCAGGGGCUAGACAUAUCUGGGGCAUGGUGACUAGCGCGGUGACUUUAUGUCUAGACUGAGUCCAUCUGGUUGUAUAAUAAAUCUCAUUGUCAAGGUGAACAAGCCGAAUCUGAAGCUAAAGAAGAGCGAUGGCAUGCGCGCACACACUAUUUGUUUGUUCAUUGAGCGUGUGGUGAGCUUUCCAAGAUGAACGUCAUUCCUAUUAGCCAGACAUAUCACUUAAUGGUGAGAACAUUUAGAUAUUAUUCAAUGUUAUCUUUUUCUAACGAAUCUAAUUGUGAAGGUGUAGCAAGAGGCAUUGCUAGUCUGGAGAAGUCAUUUAACUCAUUUGACCCUUAGUGUAUUUUCAUGAAACUAAAUAACAUUCAAAUUUUUAAGGAAUUUCUCUAGUACCUUUUUUUUACGACAUAGAGGCUUGCAUUUCUUUCAAAGGUGAUUUAGUAAAAGGCCUGAGGGCACAUGCCAUUCUAUUUCUCAAACCGGUAUUAAGAUACACUAGUGCAAAGGGAAAAAGGUAUUUGGUGAUCAAGUAAAUGGCAUGAGGGCACACGCCAUUAUAAGCCUAAGUGCUAGUGGACACCUCCUUUUUGGUACUCUCAGCGGUACUAUCAUCCUUCUCCGAGUCAGUUGUUUUGCUUUGGAUUGUUGUCUCUGACGUUACUGGGGCGUUCUCGAUAGUUGUUAAUGUUGCCGUUUGUUCAGAAAAAUGAUCACCUGGAGUAUAGUACGGGGAGUUUGGAAAACUUAUAUAUUCUACAUCUUCACCUAUCUCCUUCUCCGUCUCCUUUUCUGCCUCACUUACAGAUUUUGUGCUUGCCAUGAGAACGCUCUUCACCCUAAAAUAUGGAGUUCGUUGUGUUAUAAAAGGAAACCAACACACACGCUGCAAGGGAAUGAUGGUACAUAAAGCACGUAAGCCCACAAUAUGGGUUUAUGUGCCAUUAAUAUGGGCCACACGCCAUAUUAUUAGAUUUAUGCACGUGUGAUUGGUAAAUGCAUAUGUCACAUCAUCUCAGGCCACAUGCCAUCACGCCUCCUCUGAUUCAGAUUCGGAUUGUUCACCUUGAAAUAAAAUACAUUAGAAACUUAGUAAAGGAAUAUUAAUGAAUCUCACCUUGAACCCGGGUUAUGAAUGCUCUUGCUGCAUCUCUUGCAUGGUCUGGCAAGGUGAUGGUGGCACUCUGCUUCCGCAUCCAACCAUGCACAACAUUAUCCACCGAUAUGCUCAUGCUGGGAUCCCUUGGAUUCAGCACCCAUCUCUUUUCUAGGCAAUCCUUUGUAUAUCCGGAACUUGGCUUGAACCACUCCACAGUUACAUUGAAGGAGUUAGUUUCCGCGUCCUCCUCUGCAUCAGUGAUGCAGCGCCCCACCCAUAUCAUUUUUUUUUUAUUACUGGGUCUGACAAGCACGACCAUUCCUUUGCAGACCUGUACUGGAUUGAAUGCUAAAUCCGGCUUCUUGUUCCUCGGCCCACAAUAGUGAUCCUCAACAUCGUUAUCUGUCACUGCAUUUCCAGAGGACAUUGUUCCGCUACUAUCUGGUGCUCUGGGUUCUGGCCAAAAGGACUCUUCCAAUUCUUCAUAUACAACCGGCCCAUUUUGGAUAGCAGAUAUAAUCUUCUCCCAGUAUUCGAGCAAAGGCUUGCACCUCUGAAAAUAGGAUUCUCCACCAAACACCAACCCCCUCUUCCAGAAGGCAAUAUGCUGUCUAAUCCCGGCCACUAUACUUUCCUGGUCUUUGAGUCCAUCCGGGUGCAUCGGCCGUGGGGAACCUUGAGGAAUCAUAGGUUCCCCAGUUAUGGGAUCUCUCUUGAAGAGUUCAAUGCCGUCCACUGGCAGCCACACUGUGUCCCAUUCUCUCAUCUUGUACCUCAUCACUGGAGCACCGUCACACAUGCUGAAAUGAAACUGAAGAGGCUUGGAGUGGCCAAUCAGCGUUUCGGAUCCGUCCCUAAUGUAGCCUCUUACAAACCCCUUAAAGUCUGGAACCUCUGUCAGAAGUGCAGCUUCAACAGUGCCUUUGAUGCAAUUUUGGAAUUCAUCGUAGAGUUGUGGGAGGGUGAGGACAUUGGAUCGCCGGAGGGACUCUGCCAGGUGACUGAACAUGGCAUCGACGUCUUCAUGAGUGUGCCCAACCAUGAGAAAGCCAAGUGUAACCGUUUCAAAUAUGCCUUUGGCAACAAGCAUCGCCAAGUACGCGAAGACGUACAUGUUUUUGCUCUCACUGCCAGCAUUGUCUGUUUGGAGCAGAAGAUGGGGUGGAAGGCCACAUCGGCCGCAAGAACUUCCUUGAGAUUCUGCUUCGUUUGGAUGAGGCUGUGCAUUCACCGGGCGACCAGCCUCGUCGGAAUGGCAUGAGGCCUCACAUGAUAACCCUACAAUCUGACGGCCAACAUAUUCACUGGGAUGGCAUGGGGCCCCACACGAUACUGCAAGCCUUUGCUCCUCCUCUAGCUGAACCCUGUAUGGGGUUCGAUCGACAAAGGCCUUAUGCAAGGGUUGGCCGUUCAACUCAGUUUGCGCACUUUGCAGAGACCUUAAGUGUUUUGCUAGGGACGCAAUCAUCAUGUUUGCACCCCCGCCACCCCAUAGAGGUACAAAGAAGUUCCCAUAGUUCUGGGCACCAUGCCCAUGAGCGAUUAUGCCAAACAGAGACACAGGCAGCUGCAUGGAUGAAGAGAUUGCCUUGGGGGCAGGAUUGAGUCGAGGUAAGCACGUCUUUUUCUGGUCCAUUUUGUCGUGGAUGAUGCAGAGGUAAGAGUCAGGUCUCUCCAUGGAGAGAAUCCUGUUAUGAUAAUAUGCAGUCGUGCAGCUUCUCUGCUCGAUGUUGUGGUCGAGCCGCCUUCUAACCAACGUCUCUCGCUCUUGAGCGCUGCAAGAAUUCUUCGACAAAGCCAUUUUGAUAGCAGUGCACUUGUCACACUUUGAAAAGCUGGAGUACUUUCCUAUACUCACAUCCCUGAACCUGUUGCUCCACAAUCUACUAAAUCUAGAUUGGCUCAGCUUCCUGUAGCCAUUACUCUGGAGUUCCCGAUUCACAUCUUCCAAUAUGGCCCCCUUGGUAUACAUGGAAGGGAGAACUCGUUGGGUGUCUCGUGUUCCAUCUUCCAAAAGGCGGGUUUUAUGUGGUUGCUGCUCGCUACAUGUCUCGACAAACCUCUUGAAGAUUGCCUCUCCAUAUACAACAUGACCCCUGGUUUUGUGCGUACCGUCGUUCCCAUGGACUGCCUGUUGAAACCUUUGUUCCUCGAACUCAGUUUUGAUUCUGUAGAAUGUGGUUCGAGGGACUCCAUAAAUGAUUCUCCAUGCCUUCAUGCAGACCAAACCCCUCUGGAAGACCAUGGCCCCCACCUGAUGUUCUGAAGCAUCAACAGAUGACCGUAAUGCCUCAUACACAAAAUUGCGAGCUGCCUUCCAGGACAAUGUCUUGUAUCUUGCUCUCUCCUCUUCAAUAGCAUCCCAAUCAGCAUGUUGACAGCACCUCCUCUUGCAACAAGCAACUGUCGAGACCAUUCGAACCUCCAUCGCCAUUUUCUGCCUUUUCGGUUCGUUGCUCAGAUCCCUUUGGCUGCGCUUUAGGAAGGUGUACUUUCUUUUCCCAUGAAGAGAUGUUCUGUCAUCAGUUGUAGUGGUGUUUGAUUGUGAAUCCUUCACAUUCUCAAACACUAAGUGCCUCAAUUUCCACCGCACAAUGCUUCCAAUAGUCAGACUGUUUUCUUCUGUGUCAACAACCUCUAAAAUCGCAACUCCAAUAUCAUCCCAGCCCAAUUCUUGAUUAGCAACCGCAUCUCUUGGAUCGACAACUAUGGCUAAGCCCUCGCUACCACCUCCCCCUCGGGUUUGUUUAGAAACACCUUCGCCUGAAUCCAUGUAGCACGGUUCUUAAGAUCCACGAAGGGAACAUGCGUCGCACUUGCGUUGUCCCCAACAUCUACUUUCUUCUGAAGAUUUUUCAAGGCAACAACAACAUUUACCCCGACGACCAUCUCUCCUCGUUCAAUAGCGACCACAUUCCCAUCGAAGACAGUCUCUACUGAUACAGCAGCAUUGCCUUCCCCAAGCCUUUGACAGUGUAUAACAAAGUUCCGAUCCAUAGACACAAGGGUCCCUUUUGCAACUCUCUUCCCACCAUUCAAAAUGUAAACCUUUUCCCCAACCCUAAAGGCCAUUCUGAAAGUGCAGAAAAGAAGUUAAAACCAUACAAAAAAUGAUUGGAGAAUGGCCUAAAUCAUAACAUACCAAACAACCUCAAUAGCAUGAGGCCACAUGCCAUUAUUCAAACAUGCUAUUGACACCCACGUGAAAUUUUGCAUUCACAAAAUUGGCAUGAGGCCUCAUGCCAUCUUGAUAUACACACAGCUGCAGGUAAGUAAAAACAUACAUGACAAUACGCUAGCCAUGAAAUUGCAAGGGCCCAAGAUGGCAUGUGGCCUCAUGCCAUUUCUAAAUGUGGUCCUAAGCCAUUCCAUGGUGAACAUACCAGGAAGCACAAGUGCCGAAUAUCAAGAGGAAGAGGUAGCCACACCAAAGACAGUGCCGCUCGCAACACCGCAACUACUCGUAGUGCCGCUCGCAACACCGCAAUUGCUCGUAGCGCCGCUCGCACAAAUUGCCACUCGCAUAAACUGCCGCCCGCAAUGGCGCUCGCAAUGCCACAACCACUCAUAAACGCAUAAACCACAGCCCACAACGCCGCUUACACAAGCAGCGCUCACUGCGCUCAGCGGAACCAAGAACACGGCGCACAAAAAUGAUAGACCUAGGAAUGAGUUUGAGAAUUCAAAAAUAACACACGCUUGAAUGUCACAUCAAAUCCUCUGACAAACUAGAUCUUAUGACUCCUCUGACAAAUUUCAAACUGAGUAGCUUCUAGACUUUGCUGUCGGAGGUUGAACUUUGUCACAUCAUGUCCUUGCCUCGAUCCAGCUGUGCCAUGUCAGUGAUUCGAACUUUGCCAUGCCAUGUCAGCGAUCCGCGCCAAGAUUAUUCGCCGUGUAAAGGAAUAAUUAUGCUGUGUGUGUACGUCCAUUUAUGGCAAUAUAAGGCCACACGCCAUUCAAAGAAUAAUGCUAGUCGAGCAUUUUUUGGUGCAUUUUUGGGUUCAAAAUUGCAUGAGCCCACACGCUAUAAAGUUUACCUUUACCAAAAAUAGAAACAGCUUUAUUUACUUGGGAAUUUAAGUGGUUGAGGCAUUUUUAAACUUACAAACACAUGCCCUACUUACAUUCCUUUGGUUGCUUAAAAUUCAAAAAUAUUAUAAACCUUUCUUUUUGCAUUUUCAAUGUUUUCAAUUAUGGUUUUUGAUUUUCGCAGGACCAGCCUAGUAAUCUAUUUGCAUCCCGUCAUGUUUAUAGCUAGCUUUCGUUUGUCCCCUUCGCUAGCCUGAGAUACAUCUGCUCGGCAUCUGCCUCUUACAGCAUUUGCCCAGAAAGGGCAUCUUUCUUCACGCAGCAUUUGCCACAUGUUUAGGGUUUAGGGUUUAGCAAUUCAGUAACUUGAUAAACAUGCAAAUACAGAACUUGAUGCAAAAUCCUUUGAUAUGUCACAAUGCCCCUAGGACCAUAAACACAUUUUAAUAGAGAGGGUCCUUUCAUUUCAUAACUCCUUACGUAGAUCUUGGUAAAACCAGAGUUAGUGAAGUUAGUUUCUUGGGAUCCCGCAUCUGAUUGUGAUGUCCCUUUGCAGUGUCGAUGGAAAGGUCAAUGCACACCAAACUGUAAAAUCUUGGAGCAAAAUAACGGUCGGAUCUAUGGCAAAUGCCCUUGAAACAUUGUAAGGCUCAUGUGGUCUCAUGUGGUGUCCGAUCGAGAUGCUUCUUUGCAGGGUCAUCAAGAAAGACAUUGUAUACCAUUCUGUAAAAUCUAGUUGCGAUCUAACGGUUGGAUCUCCAGAAAACUCAAAAAAAUCUCCCGCGUGUCAGAAUAUCCUAGGAAUAUACUCCUAUGUGCCCCUGAAAAUGGCAUGCGGCCCCACGCCAUUCAAGAGAUAACGCCAGAUGACGCCGAGAAUUUUUUGGUGCAUUUUUUGGGUUCAAAAUUGCAUGAGCCCACACGCUAUAAAGUUUAUCUUUGCCAAAUAGAGAAAAGUUUAUCUGUGUCAUGUGAGGUAGUUACAGUCCUUUGUGCUCGGCAUCUGCCUCUUGCAGCAUUUGCACUGAAAGGGAAUUUUUCUCCAUUCAGCAUUUGGCCCUGAAAAUGGCAUGCGCCCACACGCCAUUCAAGGAAUAACGCCACAGGACGCCUGGAUUUUUGGGUUUAAAAUGUUUAGGGUUUUUUGGGUUUUUUCAAAAUAUUUUGGGUCCAACGUUUUUUGGGUUUCUUUGGUUCAAAAUUGCAUGAGCCCACACGCUAUAAUAUUGAUUUGAGAGAAAAAUAGAAACAGAUAGAAUUUCUUUAUUUAGCUGAACAUCUGCCAUUUUUGGAAAUACAAGAUGCUUUGGAAUAUCCAAUCAUGCAUGGUAUAAAUAUAGCGAGGGUAUUAAAUGAUAUCCCAAUCAUGAUCUUUCUUUUGGAUUUCGCGUGCAUGCAGUCCGAGGAAUGAUGACGUUGCGGAUUUCUUUUGGAUUUUGCGUGCUUGCAUGCGCGCGGCAAUCCAGAAAUUAAUGGUGGCGCCCAAGUCCGAGGAAUGAUGACGUGGCGGGAUUACGAACCGUUGUGACAUUUCGCGCGUGUGAGGUUAGGUUUUGCAUUUUGCUUCGUACUCGCGCUCGCACACUCGCGCUCCCACUCGCGAUCACGCUCACUUCUCUACAGGUUUCUCGUGUGCAUCGGCGUCCACUCGCGCUUGCAUCACACUCGCGCUCGCAUCGCACUCAUGUGCAUCGGCAUCCACUUCAAGACACACCCAGUUUGUAACUUCGCCGCCAACUCCGCCGCCCACUCCGCCACCCACACGCAGCCCACUUGGCGUCCCGGGAGAUUUCAACGCCACUCUCCAACUGUAAGUGGCAGAGUAGCCUUGCUGCUACGAUCCGCUGCACACACAGUGCACAUUCACCAGCGAGUCCGGCCUCGAUUGUCACGGCCUCCAUUCGGCUUCAAAUGGUAAGUCUUUUAGGCCAAGUAGAAAAUGGCAUGAGGCCACAUGCCAUUCAGUAGCAACAUUGGCAUGCACCGAUUGGGCUCUCGAGUGCAGUCCGGUUACAGAUGGCGUGUAGCCUCACGCUAUCUUAGGAUGCAGCCUCAAGACAUCUGAUGCAGUGGUGAAUGGCGUGUGGCCUCACGUUAUUUCCAGCUGCUAGCUUUUCAUCUGUCAGCUCUAAUUGUUGUGCAUUUCUGAACAGGCGAGGAAUUGCGUUCUUCUUCCAGCCACUGUCAAUGUGGAUGCAGAGAAGGGGGAGGAGCUCACCAGUUGGACUUUCGGGAUGGAAGGCGAGGAUCUGAUGCUGUACAACACAGAUGGUGGGAGAAAAGAAUGCAUGGGGAUCCUCAUCCAAGUGACAGACACUCCAUGCAGUUCCAUGCAAGAAUAUGGACUGGCACUUGUGGUAGAGACAACGUCCGCCUUCAAGAUCCACCUUGCACAUCCUAGCGGCUUCCCGGAGGGGGGCAGCGGCUAUGAGGAAUUCCUAGAGGGAGUUAGGGAGAGGUUGUCCAGGAGGCCCACAAUUUCAAAGACGCUGCGGGUCUAUGAAGAUCACAUGGAAUCCACGGACCUCACCUACGGCGAUGUUCAAAAACUAUAUUCCAACAUUGAGCCGUUGAGAGUGCCUCCAGUUCGCAAAGCGAAGGGGAAGGGGGUCGAUCUGGAAACUACCCCGAAGCAGAAAAGGGUGGUCAAGCUCAAGCCGACGUCCGACUCUGCUACUCCAAAAAAGAAGCUACUCGGUGAUGCCAUUGCCUCGGGUUCGAACACUACACCCACCAAAAAGAAGAGCCGCAAAGAGCAGAAAAAGCAAGAAGAGGCAGCAAAAAUCGUCGCAGAUAAUAGUACUUGUUACUAUUCCAACAAAGUAUAUACAAUCGACGUGAGCCAUAUCGACAUCUAAAGCAAAUACAACCACAGGCUAGUAUCUGAUGAGUGGGUGGAGAAACUGAAGCAGAAGAUGCUGGCAAGUCCAGUAACACCCGACAUCGCAGACGUGAUCCCCUACUACCAAACAAUGAAGGACGAGACGAGGUUUCCAAACUUGAUCAAUAAGAAGGUGUCGGACGAUCAGAACAUCCGGUUCUAUGCCGUCUCCGGGCAGCAUUCUAGCUUGGCGAUGCAAGAGAUAGUUCUGGAUAUUAUGGUGGGCGAGGAGGUGAAGAAAGUCUUCAAGACAAGAGUUGUCCGCCUGAUAAAAGGCAACUCGCCCCUCCGAUCUAUCAUAUCCAUCUCCCAUGCGCAGAAUGUUAAGCAAGAAACGUGCUAUAAAUCGGGUCUGCACGAGACAUUGGCACGAACACGGAAGCUCUGGGUUCAACUGAAGAAGCCACAAAAACCAGGACAAGAACGUGCACUAGCAACUAGCGCCUGGCAGGUAAGCCUCGUUGCAUGUGGCAUAGCAUGUGGCCUCACGCCAUUUCCAUUGCAGGAAUUCUCGAGUCUUCUCUCGAAAACACUGGGGGUCAAUGACACACUCAGCAUCCAUAACAUUCUACUCGCGACAAAAGUUGUUUUUGACAAAUGGGUAGAUGUGCUGAGGAGGUACCAUGACGGGGAGUUGCUAAACUCAAUGGGUGUGGAGGACGGCCGGAAGCCCAAUGAUUUGAAGCUCAACGCUUUGCAUUUCUCGCGGUCUCUAGACGACGACGACCUUCUGACAGUGGCUAAUGCUCUUCUACGUGGUGAGGUAGUCUUCAACAAGACCAAAAUGACUCCCGGCCAUAUUGUGACAUACGAGGACUUGUGCACGACUCUGAGAGCUUGUGCGCUAUUGAAGGAUUGGAUCUUCGAGCAAGUGGCCGUGGAGAGGGUGAGCAUCGACACCACGCAAGAGAUGAUGGAAGAGCUGGAGUUGUCAAAUGAAGACAUCGACGAGUACGUGAAGGGGGCCCCCAAGUUCAUCGAUCUGCUGCGGGAUGCCACGAAAAGUAAAGCUGAGAAGUUGGAUCAGUAUCCAAAUUUCAUUAAGAGGGAUGUCGACCGCCGACUUCAGAAACAGCUCGACCCCGCAGCAGAGGCCUAUCGAGAACCUUACCGGGUAUACGUGAAUUCGGAUGAGGAUCAAAGGUGGAGGAGCAUCGUUUCCCGCAGAGAUGAGCAGGUCAAGAACAUCUUUUGUGUGAUGAACUUCAUAAACGAAGAGAUCACUCAUGCAGACGAAGUCAGCUCCAUCAUUGACUUAAUGGUGGGACUUGCAGAGGUGGAAUCUUCAGUCCACUAUAUGAUCUACGACUCCGAAUCCUAUCACAAGUUCUGGAAGGCCUUGAACGAGGUGAAGGCUCGGUUGAAAGGCAAGGAGAUGCGGGAGAUCCAUGGGAUAAUGGCUAAGAAGAAGAUACCGACGAAUGUCCGCAUCUUCACACUCGCCCUUGUUAUUGGUCCUGCAGCAGAGUGGGACUGGAGUGACUUCCCAGCUUCGUUCGACAAGGCCAAUCGAAUUGAUCUGAGGGAGGUCAAUUUACCCGUGCCUGAGGAACUGAAGACGGCUAUGGAGCUUUCGAAUCCAAAGAAAGCUCCAGGUGCAGCAUGGGAAAUGCUCAGCUGGGUCUUCAACGCAAUAGCGGGUGACACCAAGGGCAAAUGCGUUGUCGAGUACAACUGCGGCGGACUAUUCUUUCGAGCCGCACUACUCAAGGGUGUCCCGUGUGUUGCGGUGACAAACUCCAUUGAAGAGGUGACUUCAAUGGAGCAUAUAAUUACAGUUGCCAAAGAAAAACAGUAUCUUCUCUGCGAACCUGGUGAGUACGCACUUUAAGUUUAAAUGUUAUCUCACAAGCUCUGUAUGCAGGAGCGUGGCCACCCCCAGAUGCUGAAACGGCGUUAACAGCUACUGAUGUUAGGCCGAGCUCACAACCUGCACAAGGUAAGGUCACGUGAGGCCUCACGCCAUUUUGAUUAUAGAUCGUUGUGAAUAUUCAGACACGAGGACUGAAAAGCGCACUGGUGGCGCGUCGAAGAAGGACAAACAAACAAGCAAUAGGAAAAAAGGAGGUACAAAUUAUAUUUGCAAUGCCAUGUGGUCUCAUGCCAUUCCUUGCAGGAGACACUUCUUCAAAGGCAAAACAGGCAAGCACCAGUCAAGUUCAAACUGACAGUGGUCAUAAAAAGCGAAAGCACGUUGGACAGUCGUCGGGAUCAGAGGCAUUUGAUUCGAAAAGGAAGAAGGGCAACGAAAAGAUGAUAGGUAAUGCCUCGCGGUUAUGACGUGUGUGCUCAUGCCAUUCAUUGCAGAUCAAGGGCUGAGUGAAAGGAGCCAGUCACCACCUCCUGACUCAAAUUCCUAUGGCGGACUCCCCUUCCCCAAUCUCAAUGGAGAGGUACAAUGGAUGAGGGAUGCUUUUCAAGUCAGGGCCACAUUUUUCUCAUCUCGUCGUCUUCGAAGGGUGCAAGAACGUGCAGAAACCAUGUUAAGACAGUCGGGUGAGGAUACGGUCCUAGGUCAAGCACUAAAACAGGCUAUGGAUGUCUUGUAUUUUGAGAUGGAGACUCGGCCAAAUGAUUUUCCCAAGAUGGUCCUGGAAAAACAAGCCAUCCAGCCUGAGCAGCCUAUGGAAGAAAUGCAGGAGGGGGAUGAGGAGCCAGAGAAAGAUAAUGAGCAGGAAGAGCAGAAGGACGAAGAGGAGGACAAAGAAGAGGAGGACGAAGAAGAGGAGGAUGAAGAAGAGGAGGACGAAGAGGACUUGGAUGGUCCUCACAAUGGUGACGAUCACAAUAACGACGAUAACGAUGAUGACAACGAUGGCCAGCCUGAGGUGGCCAAAGAGCAGCGGAGGAAGGUCAUACAAGACAAACCAUCAGGUAAAUAAUAGUACAUCCAUUCCUAACCUUUUACCAUUCUAACAUUGUCCAUGUAGGUUGCAGAAGAAAUGGUAAGUAGAGAUUAUUCAGUUGAAUUAAGAUACAAACUCUAGCUUUUAGUGUCGAGGAAGGAUAGUGCCAAGCAAGGGUCGAAACGUAUGUCCAAUCCUUCAGAAUCAGCAGUGCGCCCAAUAGCAGUUGAUGGUAAAUACAGUAUAGUCGAUUCAAUGUGCUAAUGAGUUUGUUUUUAGUAGCCAGUAGGGAGGAUACCAUCUCAAUCGAAGGGAGAUAUUUGGACAUGCAUAUGGAUCCGCCAGUGGACUCUACUUGCCUGCAAGAGUCAUCAGAGCUGGUGGAGGCUACUAUCCAUAUCAACGCCAAGCAAGCUGACCACGCUCCACUUGAUGCUGCCCAUACCACUGAGUCAAUCUUGUCCACGUAUCCAACUGACGGUGACCAGGCGCCAUUGGACCCGCAUGAGGCCGCCCCAGCCGCCGAGCCGGUCGUAUCCUCAUUUCCAACGGACUCAACGUGUGCCCAAUCGUUUGACUACGCGCCGUUGGAACCUCCCUACACCGCCCCUGCUGCCUGUUCGGUCAUGUCCACUUUGCCAACGGAGGCACCAACUGAAAUGGCAUGUGAUCACACGCCAUCGGAACCACCCCAUGCCACUGUUGAGCCAGUUGUACCAGAGUCUACAGCUGAAAUGGCAUGUGCCCACACGCCAUCGGAUGCGAUUGACCCCACAUUGCAGAGGAGAGUAUUUCCGCCCUUCACGUUUCCUCGACCAAAACCCUCUGAAUGACCAUCGGGAGCACCAUUCGCUAAUAUUGUAGAUGGUAAAAUUGACUUGUACCAUUUUUUAUGCUAACACAUUUCAUUUCAGAGUCACGGCGAAAGUACUGUAUCGUUUUUGAUCUGAACGGUGUCCUUUUCUCCUAUGAGCGUGGCUCGUCCUCGAAUGUCACUGCACCCUCCAAAGCCUGCGGUCGCAAGUUGGUCAAAAGAGACAGAUUCACAUUAAUCACACGGGAGAAACUGCGGGAUCUAAUAAUGACCAUGCGACACUUAAAACAGAGGGCUGGGUUCAAUUUGCAAUUGGGAGUUUGGACAUCCAUGAUGCGCCACAAUGCAUUAACGUUGCUACAGAUGAUGCACGAUCAGACGCGAGUAAUAUUACCAUUUGACUUUCUCCUAACGCAGGAGGAUUGCUUGACUAUGGUCCAUGUGAGGGGUAGCAAGCCCAUCUUCGUCAAGCCAGAGGCUGUAGUGAUGAAUCGGACUGCUAGGUCAAGUGAAAUCCUCAUCAUCGAUGACUCGCCGAUUAAAACUGCAGCGAACACGCACACAUAUGCAGUGCACCCCAUCUCUUGUAGUAUGGAAACUAGGGAGAAGAAACCGUAUGUUCUGGGGGACCUUGCAAAACGGCUUGAAGCGAUGGUGAUAGAGAACCGGCCAGUCCAGGAGGUGGCUGCAGAAAUCAACCAAAUGGCAGAUGGAACGGUAUAUCAGAAGCCAUUUGAUCGGACAGACACCAGUCAUCAUUUAUGGCAUGUAUAUUGUCUAGCCAAGCACUAUCCGCAUCUCCAUAAUCUGCUCAACCGGAUGGGUUCUUCGACCACUGAACAUGAGCGUGGACGUAUUAGAGAAGAGAUGGCAUUACUAUUGGGUUUAAAUCCUGAUAGUGUGGAGAGUGAUGAAAUUCCAAGAUUAUUGUAUAAGCAUUGGAGGCAAAAAAUAACAGUCUGAGAUGGCAUGUAUUUAUUUAAAAAUGUAGCUUAUUAUGGCAUGGGGUUCCAUGCCAUUGUAUUAAUAUUAAAAGACAAUUCUUUGAGAGGAUUUGCAUUAUACUAGAAGUGUUACAGCAUGUUAUUGGAAGUCUACGAAGUUGUUUUAUUAAUAAGGGGAAAGUAAAGAUUGAAUGGGGACUUGGGCUCCACCUAGACUCGGAGCAACUGAGCCAAUAUUAAAAGGAUGGAAAGAAAUUGGACGACAAUGACAAGGAGAAGAGAGAGGUGAAGCAGUGGCAGGGGGAGGAGAAGUGAUUGAGUAGACAUUUCCUUGUUUAAAAUAAAAUGGCAUGUGCCUCAAUGCAGUUGAAUUUUGUUAUAUUUAUAUACUAUAUAAAGGUUUGGAAACCUUAUUUUACAAGUGGGAUAAUGACAAUUCCCACUUUAACGAAAUAGAGCUUAACCUCAUAGAUAUUAAUUUUGUUUCUUCUAAAUAAAUCUUGAUAAUAUAAAAUUACAUGUGUUUAAAUUUCAUUCACAAAUUCAUGCCUCUUUUAUUUUUAUUUUUUAUUUCUUUUCUCAUUCUUUUGACAAAUGGCUCCACUUAGAACAUAUGUAAUAAUCUAAUUAAAAAUGAGUUUCUAUUAAGAUGAGUUUUAUAUGCUACUAGAAAUAGUAGAAAAGGAACUGUUUCUUAAAACAAUGAAUUUUAAAUUUAUUGAAGUUAUUAAUUGUACUAAUCUAGAACUUAAGGAGAUUAUACUUGUUGGUUAAGCUGCACUUUAUGGGGUCUUUAAUAUUUUUUACUUUAAUUAUAAAUAUUUUUAAGUUCUUUGUAAGUAUAAUUUUAAUUAACUAAUUCUUACUCUCUUUUUCUAUAUUUAUAUAGGUGAUAACACAUAGUGAUUUUGUUGAUACAUGUGAUAUUAGUACAAUGAAGCUUAUAAGAAUUGAUGAUAAUGAUGAAAGUAAAGGUUGGAAAUUUGAAGCUGUAUGUGAACCUUUUAUAAAUCAAAAAUCAACAAUUACUCUUAAUAACUGUAUUACAAAUACUAAUGGGGUUAUGGGUCAUGGUCGUGAUUUUCAAUUAUCAUGUAAUAGUGCAAUUGUAACAAUAUCAUAUGAUGGUUGGGUAAAAUUAUCAGCAGUUUGCACUACUUUUGGUGGUCUUCCAAAUCCAACUAGAAUUUAUUUAAAUUCAAUUCUUGUAAAUGUAAAAGGUUAUCUCCAAUGUUAGAUUGAAUAAAAGAUAAUAUAAAAGAACACAUUCUUAAAUUUUUUUUAAAUACUUUAUUAAAUACAUUAUGUUAUAAAUAUGAAUUUAUUUAGUAAAGGUAUUUAAAAAGUCCUUUCAAAGACAUUUUCUAGAUUUUGCUUUAUAGUCAUUAAAUAAAAAAAUUAUUUAUAAAUUCCAUAAAUAUAUUCAUGUGUCUGUUUUUAUACACACACACACACACACACAUACACAUAUAUAUAUAUCAACACACACAUGAAUAUAUUUAUGGAACUUUUAAAUUUAAUUUUUUUAUUUAAUGGUCUUUGUGAUUGACUUUUGGAUUCAAGUAGUUAAUUUAACUAUAUUUCUUCAUGUUUCCAUAUGUUAUACCUAGUGUGUUAGCUUUCUGUUAGACAUAUAUAUAACUUAAUGAUAUGAGUUCAGUGUUUAGGUUUUAUAAAGGUGAACUAAAAAGUGAUUGUUGGUUAUUUAGUGACUAAUGAUUGCUUGUAUACUUUGUCAAGGACUACUAAAAAUUUAUUUAACUUGAUAAUGAUUUUAUAGUGAUAAAUUUGCUUUACAAGAUGUGUUGUGGGGAUUAUGUCAUUGGGAUGAUUUUUGUAUGUUAUCAUAUUGAUUCCAUCUCUAUCUGUAUUAUUUGGUUGCAUUUAGUUUUUGGUGUUAAAUUACAUUGUGUCUAGGAUGUGGUAAUAAUUUAUUAUUUGUAGCUUAGUAUUAUUCCAAAAUUAAUUUAAUAAGGUAUCUUUAACCUUAGUUAGUUUAAUUAGUAGAGAGCUUUAACUGGUGAUUCUUUUUUAACUUUAUUCAAGUAUUAGUGGAGCAUCCCUUUAAUGAGAGAUUUUAUCCUCAUUUAUCCACCACUUUAUUUUUCUCCCCUUAAGCUAACUAAAUAAGGGAGUCCUCAUUCAUCUUAUAAUUGAAUUUAUCAAUGCUUCCAUUGUAUAAACUAAUUAUUCUAUAUGAACUAAUUAAUCAUCCCAAAGAGCUAGAUUAUGCCUCAAGUUAGUUAGCCAUAUCUGACUUAUCCACUAUCCCUACUAUACAUUUGGAACCCCUCCAAAGGAAUGCAUACUUUAGGUUUACACCCCAAUCCCAGAAGUUAGUAUUUAGAACAAUAAUGAAAACUAACUAAAUAUGGAAUGACACUAGAUUGUGAAUUUGGAUACAGGAACAACACCAUCAUGUCCAUAAUAAACUUUACAUUCCGUAAAUAUGCUUCACCAAAAAGUCUAAAUACCUCCAUAAAUAGCUACUGAGACUAAAUAGAACUAACACAUAUGUAAUGAUAAUGAGAGUGUCUCAAUAUUUGUCAAUGGUUUGACAUUGAAAGCUCACCAUGCCUUAGCCAUCCUUUAAGGAAUAUAAUCUCUCCAAUUUAGAGACUUAUUAGACCAUUUAUGGUUAACAAACAUAGUAAGCUAUCAUUUAACAAAUAUUGAGGGACUAAUCUCAAUAUCCUAAGGGUUCCCAACACUAGUAAAUACAAUCAAAUGAAUGAGUUUUUUUAACUAGGUCAAGUAUGCUUCAUUAAUAAAAUUUAAGAAUGCCAUUAUUAUGCUCUUUUGGCUAAGUGCAUAUGUAAAGAUUAGUUUCUCAACUGGGUGGAAAUUGAUAAAGGGUCUAGCAAUACUAACAUCUUGCCAUCAUGGCAAUAAAGAUUAUUUAAAAGGAUUCAUUGACAAAUAACUUUUGUGCUUUUUAGAUUCUAGAAAUUUUUAUUUAGUUGUAGCACAUGUGUUUUUCACCCUUUACCCUAUAGUGAUAUACCAUAGGAUAACCAUGAAGAAGAACCUAAACUCUUUCCAAUGAUAGUAUAGUGGAAUUUAUGUUUCAAGGCCUUGAGCCACUGAAUGAAAGGACAAAGCCAAACUCUCGAACAUACAUCCAAAGAGUAAAGGAAUUAAAGCAUGGAAUAACUCUCAAGCAUUCAACCCAAAGCACAAAGGGAUAGGAGCAUGGAGUGAUAUUAGAACAGUCCUAGAGCAUUUAACAUCCUAGUACACAAAAUAGAGCUAAAUAGAGUUUAGUGCUAUUUUUGAAUACUGGUGGUUUGACAUUAUAGUGCACCUGAAUUUAGAGUUGAACUCUAAGCCCAUUGCACUACCAAACAAGGGUCCAGUACAAUCCCACGAGUAAUAGCUCCCCGUAUCUAGCACCUGCAUGCAAAAUGGUGUUAAAUGGUAUCUAGCAUAUUGGUGGCUUAAUGCGAGGAGAAAAGUAUCCCACCGACUAGAGUAGUGUGGAGCUUAGACUUAAACCCAAGUUGGACGUAGAACAAAGAGCAACAUAACCCAGUGGGAGCUAAACUAAUGUCUCAGGUGGUUGGACAUGCAUUCAACCCACUAUCGCUAUUAUACAUUUAGAACCCCUUAGAGAGCCGCCGCCCCCCCUCCCCCUUCGAGCAAUACAUGCUUUAGGCUUUCACACAAGCUUGAAACCUACUAAAAAUGAAAUGUCUUUAGAUUGUGAUUUUGGACACGGGAUGAACACCAUUGUGUUCAAAACAAUUAAGGGCAUUUUUGGGGCUAUGCAACUACUACCGAAAGUUUAUCAAACAUUAUUUAACCCUUAAUGGACCAAACGGGAAAAAGGAAGAUGGUAUGGAUAGCGGAAUGUGAAGCAGCAUUUGUCCACCUCAAGGGGAAGUUGAGGAAGGCUCCCGUGUUGGCGUUACCAAACUUUGGUAAAGACUUUGAGGUAGAAACGGAUGUUUCAGACUUUGCCUUGGGCGCAAUUUUGAAGCAAGACAACCAUCCAGUAGUAUUCUUCUCGAAAAAGUUGGACAAGGCUCAGCAAAAGUGGCCUGCCCACGAGAAGGAAUUGUUUGCGGUGGUCAAGGCGCUCAAGGAGUGGCAACAUUACCUUAAGAGACACUUCAAGGUUUACACAGACAAUGUGGCAAUGAAACACUUCUUGCCACAGCCCGACCUGAGAGGGAAACAGGGUCGGUGGGCCAAUGCUUUGGUAGAGUUUGAUUGCGAGAUUCUGUACAAGCCUGGGAAGAGCAACAUCGUGGCAGAUGCACUAAGUCGAAAAGCGAGCUUGAAGUUGGCAAUAUCCAGGGCGACAGCAACCUUUUAGGAUGAUGUGCGGACAGUAUAUGAGAACAAUAGUCUAACAGAAGAAGUGUUGUUGAGGAAUUUGGAGGCACGGGAAGCUCACCAAUGAGGUGAGCUGCCAAUGGAAGAGAAAACGGGCUAUGCAGAACGCAACAGACUUAUCUAUUACAAGCAAACGAGGGUGUAUGUUCCAGAAGGGGAACUAAGGAAAGUAACCUUAGAAGAGUGUUAUGACGGACCUCUUGCGGGACACGGCGGAGUGCCCAAGACGAUGGGCUUACUCAAGAGGAAGUACCACUGGCCAGAUAUGGCUAAGGACGUCCAAGACUAUGUAAGGACAUGUCCAACAUGUCAGCAGAUCAAAGCCGUAACUAAGGCUAGUGAGGGCUUGUUACAAAGCAUCCCAAUUCCAGAUCGUCCGUGGAAAUGUCUUACGAUGGACUUCAUCACGGGACUUCCCCCAAGUGAGGGGUUUGAUGCGAUACUCGUGGUGGUGCACCGAUUUUCGAAGAUGGCACAUUUCAUACCCACCACAACGGAAGUGGAUGCGGAAGGUAUGGCGAAGUUGUUUUUCAAACAAGUGGUUCGAGUGCGGGGAAGGCUAGAGGAGAUCAUCUCGGAUAGAGAUAAGAUCUUCACCAGCAGGUUCUGGAGAACUCUCCUGGAACAGUAUCGCACCAAGUUGAAAUUCAGCACAGCCUAUCACCCACAGACAGGUAUUGGGUAUUAAGUCAAGUUGGAUGGCACUAACGCUUCUUGAUAGAUGGACAAACGGAAAGGGUGAAUAGGCAGCUGGAGGAUUAUUUACGAUGCUAUGACUCCGGAGACCAGACUGAUUGGGUAAGUCAUUUGGGACUUGCGAAAAUGUGUUAUAACAACUCACCACAUUCGAGUAUUGGGGUGAGUCCAUGGAAAGUCAUCAAUGGGCGAACUAUUGAAGGUCCUGUGGAACUCGGCGUGGCCAAGUAUCAUGGAGAGUUGCCUGCAGUGGAGGCAUUCACGGCGGAAAGACUCAACAUUUGGAAUCUAGUUGUAAGGAACUAACUCCCCAAGGUGUCGUAGGCUAAAGCAUCCCUGAAAACAUGACCAAAAUGACAAAGGGUUCAUCAGAUGGGACCGAGUCUGAGAUCGAGUCCAAGACCGACUCUGAGACCGAGUUCGAGAUAGAGUCCGGGAUCGAGCCCGAGACCGAAUCGGAGACCAAGUUCGAGACCAAGUUCGAGACAGAGUCCGAGAUCCAAAUCGGGUCCAAGACCAAGUUCGAGGUCGAGUCCGAAGUCAAGUCUGAGAUCGGGUCUGAGAUCGAGUCCGACACCGAGUCCGAGACUGAGACCGAGUCCGAAGUCGGGUCCAACACCGAGUCCGAGAUCAAGUUUGAGACCGAGUCCGAGUACUAAUACAGGUCAAGGGGUGAAAGCCCAAAGCAUGCAUUUCCCAAGGGAAGGGGGGGGGGGGGGGGGGGGGUUCCAAAAGUAUAGUAGGGAUAGUGAGGUCCAGGAACUAGUCUUGAAGGAACUCUCCAUUGGUGCUUCCAAACUAACUUGAGGUUGAGACUGGGGCCGAGGGGCCUUGGGUAGGAGUGAGCAUGGACUUGGGUGGUGCUGGAGGGGCCACCCAAGGAAGUGCUCAAGAGCAGCUCCCACUCCUGAAAGGGAAACCGAUUGCGGUGCUCCCGGCUCAUGUGGAGUGGUGCCCCACUUGAAUACCUUGUGGCUCAUUGGUCCUCGCCCUUCCUAGGGGCUUGGACCUUCCCUUCAGGAUGGAAGUGGGGGGGUAGAGGUACCCGUACCAGACCGUUAGGCCAUGGUGUUUCGCCCCGGUGUCCCGAAACAAGUGUUGCACCCAAGGCUUGGGAUUAAGAGGGUCCCAUGAUCAAGUUUUGUUGUACCAAGGGAUGUUAGGAACCUGGAGGCUUGGUGUGCUUGGCUGCGUAUGCCUGCGGAGAGUGUAGCUGAACCUUAAGUUCAAUCUAACCCGGGGAGGGGGAUUGGGAGGGAUUUGGGAAUCCGUGGAUGGAUGGCUAACACUCCGUUGCUCGUGCAAUGAGUAGCUGAAACCAAGUAGGACUAAGUAGGAGUUGGUACAAUAGGCGGGAACCUUGGUGAGGGAACUUAGCAAAAGCCAAGGCAGUGUUGGUCAGAUAGACAAGGUAAGUUGGCAAAUUGGAAAGGAAAAAUUUGUGGCUUACAUUGAUCUUCUAGAGGGGAUAGAAUUGGCUCUUAAACACUUCACCAAGUUAGCCUAUUUUUCUGCUCGUAUUCACUCUAGCCUUGGACUCUUUAAUGGAUAUAUCAUCACCUAACACGUGAGUAUAACCUUCUUUAGUCACACUAACAUUUUCUGGCCAAACUAGAUCCAUUGAGGUCCCCCCCCCCCCUACUAUACUUUUAAAGCUCACCAAACCCCCUAGGUUCUGGGAGAUGAUUGCUUUAGUCUUUCACCCUCAAACUUAGACUUGGACUUGGACUCAGUCUUGGAUUCAGAAUAGGUCUUGGUCUCGGUCUCAAACUCAAACUCAAACUCAAACUCAAACUUGGACUCGGUCUCGGUCUUGGUGGAACAUAUAUGUAUAUUACUCAAUGUCCCUUAGAGACUAGUAUAAAAGCAAAUUGCUCAUAGUACAAUGCUUUAGCAAUUUUCCAAUGAAUGGUGGAUGAGGUUCUUUGUGAUAUACUAGAGGUGACUACUUACUUAUUCAAUAAUGUCUUAAUCCAUUUAGAGGGGACACAGAAAGAGCACAUUCAUGAUGUUUGAAAAGUGUUAAAUUGAUUGCGAGAAAUUGAUUUAAAGUUGAAGUGAUUGAAAUGCAUAAUUAGAUCCAAAGAUAUGAUUUAUCUUAGAUACUAUAUUUCUCAUAAGGGUUUAUAAAUUAUUCUUGACAAACUUAUGGCCAUUCAAAAGUUCUCUAUUCCAAAGUGUUUGAAUGAUAUGUAGCACAUCCCAAGUAGGUGCAAUAUCUCAAUUAUUUUAUUAAUCAUCUUUUUAAUUGCACCAUACCAUUGUGAACGUUGCUGAAGUUGUCAAUGUUAUCUUUCAUCUAAUCCAAGGACUAUGAACAUGCAUUUAUAGAUCUUAAAAAGUUAUUGAUGACUCCUCCAAUUUUAGCAUAUUUUAAUUAAACUUGAUAUUUCAUUUUGCAUAUGAAUGCUUUGGAUAUCAGUCUUGGGGGUGUUUUAAUGCAAAAAAGUAUGAGUGUGCCUAAUCAACAUCAUCCCAUUGCGUACAUAAACUAUACAUUACAACUAGUAGAGGUAUAUUACUCCAUAAUAAAGAAAGAAUGUUUAGUGGUAGUUUAAAGUUUCGACAAGCUUGAGUUCUCAGAUGUUACUAGAAGGUAAUCAUGUUGUAGUUACUUUGUUAUUGAAGUGGAAAAACUUGAUUAAUUGUAUGGCUUGAUAAGCUCUAAAGUUUCAAAUAUAUAAUUUAAAGGUUUUUCAUUACCCAGGGAAUUAUAUAGUUGAUACUAACACCCUUUUUCAAGUUCUUUUCCCUUCUUUACUCUCUUCUCAUGUUCCUAAUAAACCUAUUAUUUUAGCAUUUAUGAAUUUUCUGGAUGAGGAUUUUAUACUGUUAAUGGUUAAUAUACUUGAUGUUCAGUGUCCAUGAGGUGCAAAGAAAGAUUUACCUUCUUUUGACAAGGUUAGUGUGGCUUAAAAGGUUGAGUCGUGGAUCUAAAGGCUUUUUAAAGGGUUUAAAAAUCCUGCAUCACUUAUAAAUGACUUAUUAUUUCAGCAUUUACAUUCUUAAUAUUGUCUUAAGGAUGACCUUCUUUAUUUUGUUUAGACUGAUCUUAAUGGUCAUUUAUAGCUGGUGGUUCUUUUAAUAUUUAUUCCAUGUUUUUUCUAUACUUACUAUAACUCUCCUAUUCUAUGUGGGCAUAUAGGAUAUCAGUGUGUGACUGAAAAAUUACAUAAUUCUUUCUAUUGAUUGAAUAUACAAUGUGAUAUUAUUCAAUAUAUGCAUAGUUGUCUUUGGUGCCAAGGCUAUAUUACUCCCCUGGUGUUACGAAGGGACAGUUGGAGUCAAUUAUAAUUUCCUGUCCAUUUGAGUUGGUGGCAUUUGAUCUAAUAAAGCUUUUUCCACAAUUGAUUAUUAGUAAUGAAUAUGUCAUUAUUUUCUUUGACUACUUGAUUCACUAAAUGGAAGUCAGUGCUCUUACUAGUGCAUCAAUAACUAUUAUUGGGUACUUCCUCCUCAAUUGAGUGGUGUUCUAAUAUUCAUGUCUAGAGUGAAUUCUCUCAAAUAAUGGUCUUACAUUUAUUAAUGAGGCAUUUCAUGUUUUAAUAUCUCAACUAGGGAUACAUCACACUUUACAAAUGCUUAUCAGUUUGGUAGAACAACUCAUUCUGAGAUGAUUGCGAAGUAUGUGAAGUUUAACAUUUAGAUUAAGAUGAUUAUUUGCCCUCUCUUUGGUACACAUAUAUUAUAGUGAUAUAAAGUUCUAUUAAUGUUUCACUAUAUAAAAUUUUAUAUGGUAAUGAUCCAAUAUUACUAAUGGAGUUGAGUUCACCUUCGCGAUUGCUAUAAACUGUCGAUACUAAGUCUUGGGAUCAAUAUUUAAUGAGCAUUUUUUUAGUUGUCUGAGUAGAGUCUAUCAAACAUUUAGGCAGCAUACAAGUGGGACAACAACAACACUACAACUCCCAUCAUCGUCCAUCUAUAGAGUAUAAAGUAGAUGAUUUGGUGUUAGUCUAUUUUCCCAAUCUUACAAUAUAUAGUCUGUCUAAAAAACUCUUUUUUCAAUGAAGGGACCAUAUUAGGUGUUAUAGCAAGUUGGAUUUCAAGUUUAUAAAGUUCAACAUCACAUUCAAUAGGCCGAUCCUCUAUAAAUUAUGCAUAUACAACAACUAAAAUGUUUCAUAUAAAGGGAUCAAAAAUAAUUAAUACAAAUCCAUUGAUGCCUCCUCUUAAUAUUCUUUUAGAUCCCGGCCCAAACUAGAGAACUUAAUUGCCUCCUAUCCUUCCGAGAAGAGGGGAUAAGUUCCAAGUGUACAUUUACAAUGGUAUAUAUUAAUAUUAAAAGUUAUAUAUAAUAUUACUAUAGUGGAUUUUGAUAAUUGUCAGAUUGAUUUCAAUCCGAAUUUAUAUAUAAAAUAUGGUUUUUGGACUAAUAAAAAUCCACUUCCAUAUUUAUUCUAUGCACUUCCCUUACCAUAAAUCAUGCAUUGGAGUGAGCUUUAUAUAUGCCUCCACCCAUAUUAGACUUUGAUAAUCUUAUGAGAUAUGGGAUUAGGUUACCAAGUAGUGCAAUUUACAGAAAAUGUCUCACUAAAUCAAUAUUCCCAGCUUCCAUAGAAGCAUUGCCAUCCUCCCAUAUAUCCACUAGUGACAAUGAACACUUCCUUAUAGACCUUUCUCAUUGGCAAGAGGGUGUAGUGAUCCUUCAUGUUGGUUGUAGUGGCAAAGUUGUUUUCUCAGGGCUCCACAAAAUGGAUGUAGAGGAGGCUGAAUUUGUGGGUUGGAGUUAGAGGCUCCCGGAUUCCAACUCCGAUCUCCUUGCAAACAGCUUCCAGGAUCUCUAGAGCAAAAUGGCAGCUGUUCUCUCUUUAAGGAACUAGUCGAUGAGGGCUGCAUGAAUUUCGACGAAUCAAAACGAAUCAAAACCUGCAAACCCAUUCUUUGUCAGUUAAGAUCUUUUAGUUUGGUUUUGACCUGCUCAUAUGUGCAGCGAUCCUAAAGUCAUCCAUGGUGCCAGGGAACUCAUUGAUUUCCAAGAAUCUUGGAGUGGAUAAGUCAACCUACCAUGGAGCUGUCUUAUUGGAGGAAGAUAAUGGGGUAAGCUGGGCAUUCCUAAUAAAAAUUCCUUGAAGCUUACAUGUGUGACAACAUGCCAAAGUUGAAGGAUAAAUCCCUCCUUUGUUAUGCACUGCCUGGACAAUUGGUUUCCAGGCCUCAACUUGUUCCUUGGACCAUGUUCCUGUAGUGUCUGGAUAUCUGCAGGAAAAAGAUGAAUAGAAACCACACUCGUGACUAUAGAACCAUACCCAGUUCAGUGGGAGAGAUUGGAGUGGCCUCGGCUAUGAAUAAUCCCCUAUGAGUAGUUCUCUGGGCAUAAUAAGUCGUAGCAUGAAGCUGUGGUUCGUAAUUAUAUGACUUACACCUUGUAAGUGGAGCAACCUCUGAUCAAAAGCCAACUUUUAGGAGAAAAAGAACUGCUUCUUCUCCUAAGAAUGAGAGGAUGUUCUUAUUGUUGUUGAAUCUCUUGUGGCGCUUCCAUGAUUGACUGUACUCAAUCUUGAGAACAAUUCCACCUGCAUAAGCGAUAGCAAUAAACAUAGGAUCCAUUUUCUUCCAAGUUACCUUUGGAAUGUCAAAGCUCGUGCAAGAGAAACGUAGCUUCACGGUCCAUAGUUGUAGAAAAUUACAAAAACGUAACUAUUUCGCCUCCGACUUUUUAAGAUAAAAAACAGAGAAAUUGUGAUUUCAUAACAGUUUAAGUUUCAUCCACGAGAAAAGAAUAGGACAAAUAGCCGACCAAGUCGGCCUUUCCACUUUCCACAGCAGCAUUGCCAUCCUCCCCUGCCUUUCUCAGUGGCCAGAGGCUCAUUCGGGGCUCCACGAAAUGGAGGCUGAGAGAAGAGUCCGAGCUUCAUUGGAUUGGAAUCCAGCUCCAACAAAGUCCGAGAAGAACAAGCAGAUCCCAACUCUUCCUGGCCGAUCUCCUCACAAAAGAUCUCCAGAGAGAACCUCUCAAGCGAGGUCAGUUCGAUCGUUGGUUCUGUCUUUGAGGAACUGGUCGAUGCGGCAGCCGUGAGCUAUGGAUCUCGACGCCUUCAAAGCCUGCAAAUCCAUUCCUGAAGGUAAGAAGAAAAUUCCUUCCGAAAGAUAAGAGAUUGGAGCUCCUUGGCCAGGGUGAUAAGCUGGGCAAUUUGAAAUUGCUUGUGUGAGAAACUCGUUCAGCAUGCAAGAUUUGAAGGAGAAAAUCACCUCCUUUGGGUGGCUCGCUGCCAAGAUCCAGCUUUAGGCAUACACUGCCUGGACAAUGGGUUUCCAGGCCUCGAUUUGCUCCUCAGUCCAUAUCCGUCUGGAUAUCUACUUCGACCAAAAUCCACAUCCCGGAGGAAGAUUUACACGUACCCCAAUCCAGUCGGAGAGAUUACAGUGGCCUACAAUCCCCCUCGAGUAGUUCUCUGGGCAUAGUAAAGCGCGGCGUGUGGCUGUGGGACGUAAUUGUACAAUAGAGACCAUGUAAGUGGAGCAAGUACCACUCUGGAAAGGAUCAUCCAAUUUUUAUUGCCAUGUCAAGAGCUAGUAUGGUAGUUCUUACAUGUGAUUGAGCGAGAAAUCGCCCAGCUGAAAGGGCCUGAGCAGUUCCUGGCAUUCAUGCCGAGAAUCUAUACGACUCUAGGGUCAUUUUAAAGGAAAGCACGUAUAAUGGAUUCGCUAGAAAUCUCGAUGGCGACGCAGUCAUAGAUAAAACCUUGGAGGGAUGAACUUUACCAUGAAUGCCUUUUAGUUAACUUUUCUACUUUGGAUAUAACAUAUUUUAGGGAUCCAGGAUCAUCCAGAGGUACGUCGUCGCGGCGCCAUGAGCUGCCUAGGGCUGGAUCUUGGCAACGAGCACAGCCGCAUUGCGAUCGCGCGGCAGGGCGGCGUCGAUGUCUUUCUCGACGAGGAAUCCAGCCGCGAGACGCCCUCUGUCAUCUCCUUCACGCAGCGCGAUCGCUGCAUUGGCGCAUCCGGCGCGGCGUCGGCGCUGGGGAAUCUCAAGAACACGGUGUGGCAGAUCAAGAGGAUUAUCGGCAGGAAAUUUCGGGAUCCGGAGCUCCAGAGCGACCUCAAGCUCAUGCCGUGCCUUGUCACCGAGGGAAGAGGGGGAUGGCCGGCGAUCCACGUCUCCUAUCUCGGCGAGCACAGGAUCUUCGGGGCCACGGAGCUGCUUGGGAUGGUUCUAGCGCACUUGAAGUCGAUCGCAGCCAAGAACAUGAUGGGAGUAGCUCCAGGGGAGUGCGUGAUAGGAACUCCAGCUUUCAUGGACGACGUCCAGAGGCGAGCUUACGUCGAUGCUGCUGCGAUUGCGGGUCUCCGGCCUCUCAAGCUCAUCCACGAGACGACUGCCGCCGCGAUAUCUUAUGGCCUCUAUCGGACGGAUCUUCUUCACGAGACUCGGGAAAUCUUCGUGGCUUUUGUGGACGUCGGGCAUGCGCACACCCAGGUGGCGAUCGUGGCCCUCCGGAGAGGUGUGCUGCGAGUUCUAUCCUACGCGUUUGAUCGGUGUCUCGGGGGCCGGGACUUUGACGAGGUGCUGUUCAGCCACUUUGCUGCGAAGUUCUCCGCCACCUACAGGAUCGACGUCCUGUCCAACUCGCGGGCUUGCCAGAGAUUGAGAAGAGCGUGCGAGAAGCUGAAGAAGAUCCUCAGUGCCAAUGCCGAGGCUCCCAUCAGCAUCGAGUGUCUCAUGGACGAGAAGGACGUCAAAGGCUUUAUUACGAGAGAGGAGUUUGAGAAGCUGUGUGCCCCGCUGCUACAGAGGAUCAGGCAUGCUUGUGAAAGAGCUUUAACGGAUUCGGAACUGGCUGUGGACGAUAUCUCCGCUGUGGAAGUGAUCGGUUCUGGUUCCAGAGUUCCUGCGAUCGCUAGAGUUCUCGCUGCCGCUUUUAGGAGGGAGCCUAGCAGGACUUUAAAUGCGAGCGAAAGCAUUGCUCGCGGCUGUGCUCUCCAAGGUGCGAUGUUCAGUCCAACUUUUCGAGUUAAGAAGCUCGAGGUAAAGCAUUCCUUCGAUUUUUUAGUUGUGUUGAUAUGUUUCGCUGCUACAGGUCCAUGACUAUUUCCUGUUCCCUGUAGCGUUCUCGUGGGCUGGACCCGCAGCGUUUGAGUAUGGUCUUGACGAUCCCACGACUCCUUCAGCAUCCAUCGUUCCACAGAUUCUUCCAAACAGCAUUGUUUUUCGGCGAGGGGUGUCGUUUUCUACGUCCAAACAGCUCACUUUCUGGGUAACUAAUCCGAUAUUCGAGAUUCGAGCGUUAUAUGGAGAUCUGACUGAACUUUCGGCAAGCGCUUCGAACCCUUUUGCAACAUUUACUGUAAGAACUGAUCCUUCGGAAUGGUUUUUUAUUGCGAUCCGUUUCAGGUGGGACCUUUGAGUUGCAGGAAACCAGAAUCUUCGCGUCUGAGGCUUUCAAUUCACCUGAAUCAGCAUGGAAUACUCAUGUUGUCAUCAGCCACUGUAAGUAUAGCAAAAAAGUCUCGUCUUUUUUGUUUUUCGACAUUCAUCUGGUCAUGGGAUUUGUAGCUUAUGGAAGAUGAAGAACUGGAAUCAGGCAUGCAGCAGGUAUUCGAGAGCGUUUUAAGAAUCUCUAGGAAACGUCUCUCUGUCGUUUCCAGGGACAAAGUAGGAUGAGGAGAUUGAGACACACCGAUGUGCCAAUCGUGGAAAUGACAACGAAGGAGCUGUCCUCAUUGGAGCUGCAAAAUGCCAUCGAGAAAGAGUUUGAGAUGGAAUUCCAGGAUCGAGUGUCCGAAGAAACGAAAGAGGCGAAGAAUGCAUUGGAAGCUCUAGUGUACGACAUGCGAAACAAGGUAUUUGCAAUGACUGCUUGUGGGAUUCUUACCGAUUGAUGCAUGCAGUUUUAUGGAAAAUUACAAGAAUAUGCAAGUGAAACGGAGAAGAAAGAUUUACUGAAGAAACUCCAAGAUACUGAAACAUGGUUGUACGAAGGAGGAGACAAUGAGACUAAAACUGUCUAUGCUGCAAAGCUAGCGGACCUUAAAAUGGUAAAAUUGCGACAAUUGCCUUCACUGCUUACUUGUAAAUGCAGCUCGUGAAGUCACUCGAAGAACGGCUGGCCGAGGAGCAUGCUCGUGAUGCUGCAAUGUCAGACAUGCAAAGGCACAUCGAGAAUGUGCGAAAUGCUGCUAUUGCCAGGGGUGCUCAUCUUGAUCAGUUUCGUAUUGAAAGGGCAAGUGAUUGUUUUGUUAGUCUCAACAUUUUUAUUUGUUUUUCUCUUCUAGGUCUUUUCGGAAUGCGAUCAAGCGGAGUUAUGGCUUAGGGAAGCGAAACACAGCCAGGCGAUCCUGCCAAAAUAUGCGAAGCCGGCUGUAUGGGCCUCUGACAUUAAGCACAAAGCAGAACUUUUGGACAGGUGCCUUUAAAAUUGUUUUGCAUCUUCACUACCGGGUUUGUAAUCUGUACAGAUACUGUAAGUCGCUUAUUGGAUGAAUCAUCCGAUCGACAACUUCACCAGUGGUCUUUACAGGAGCAUUGUCCAUGCUCAAAGUGAUGGUAACAUGUUACAUCUCUUACAACUAUAGCUCUGUCGACGAUCCUGGAAAUGACUUUGAUUGCAGCAUGGCACUCGGAGCAGAUACGUAAGUUCUUGACGAUUUGAAGCGGGGUGCCAGGAUCAGUUGUCAACAAACCAAAAGCUAAAGCAACUCUUUCGCUGUGAUAGCCGAGAUGCUCCACAUUUUCUUCCAUCGUCUCGACAUCCCUCAGCACCUCGUUCAUAUCAGGUACAUAGCCAGCUUCUUGCAUUUGCCGGUCCAGCCUUUCCAACUCGGCUUUAAGUUUAUCAGUUUGUGGGUGCAGCUUGCCGGUCGUGCCAAACUCGUGCAACCUAUUCUUAAUCUCGAUAUAACUUUGUCCUGGGAGCUUCUUCCAAUCUCUCUCUUGCAUCGCUCGUCGAAUUCUCCGGACGUCAUCCCACCUCCCAACUCGGCCAUAGAUACUGGAGAGGAGCACAAACGCAGCGGUAUUCGCCGGAUCCAAUUCCAGAACUCGAUCGGCAACGAGCUCGGCUCUCUCCACGCGGCCAUGCAUCUUGUAACAACCGAGUAGCGUCACCCAGAUAACACUCGUCGGCUGGAAAGGCAUCUCGUCCACCACCUCCUCGGCUUGAGUGACCCAUCCAGCCCGGCCGAGAACGUCAAUCAAGCGCACGAAGUGGUCGACCUCGUGGGAAAUGCCGUGAUCCAUCGUCAUUGACACGAAGUAACUCCUGGCCAGUUCCACAAGUCCGGUGUGGCUGCAAGCGUGCAAGAUACUGUUAAAGGUAACUCGGUUCAUUUCGCACGACUCCAUGACCAUCUCUUGGAAUAAUUGCAGGGCGUCGUUGCUAUGCCCGUGCUGGGCAUAUCCGGCGAGCAGCGUGUUCCAGCAUACGAGAUCUUUCUUUUUGACUGUGUCGAAUGCGAUCCUGGCUUCGUGCAUUCUCCCGCAUCGUGAGUACAUGGUGACGAUCGCGGUGGCCACCACCAGGUGCUUUUCCAAUCCAAGAGCGAUGAUCCGGCUGUGGAAGGCUAUGCCCUCGGAGAGAGCUCCCAACCUCGAGCAAGCGUCCAGCACUCCAGAGUAAGCGUACAUGUUUGCUUUGGUUCCUUCCAGCUCCAUGUUUCGAAACAUUUCCAGGGUGGUCUUUCCAUCUCCGUGCUCCGAGUAGGCCGUGAUGAUAGCUCCCCAGGCAACGAUAUCUUUGCGCUCCAUCACGUCGAAGGCUCUCCGAGCAUCCUCAACACUGCCACACUUCGCAUACAUGUCCAGCAAGCCAGUUGUGACGAUGCUGCUCUUGCCGAAAGAUGGUGGCUUUGCUUGUCCGCCGCUGGAAGACGCAACGAUCAAGUGCGAGUGAAUCGCCCGUCCCUCCUCGAGGGCGUCAGUUCCGAGCGCUCCACAGGCACCCAGGGCGAUGGAGAAGAUGAAGUCGUCGGGCUCCACUCUAUCGUCCUUCAUCUCCUGAUAGGCAUCGAGAGCGUCCCGGAAGAGCCCGUUCUGGAAGUAGGCGAGGAUGAGGAUUGUCCAAGAGAAGACGUUCCUGGUGACUAUCCGGUCGAAGGCACUUCGCGCUUGAUCCAGCUCGCCGCAUUUACCAUACAUCUGGACGAGCAAAUUCCCGAGAAACGUAUCGCCGUCGUAGCCGCGGGACUUGAGGAGGAAGUGGAGCCUCUUCCCUUCCCAGAGGUUCUGGCUGCUCCCGCAUCUUCGCAACGCCUCGGCGUAGCAUUUGGUGGUGUCGCUGCUGCAGCGCAAACUUGGACUAGAACCCACUACUGCUACAUCGCUGGCGAGCCGCGGAGAACAGCUGGAGCUCCAGACAGCGUCCAUUCAUUCCAUCACAAAGCUCUCCGCAAGCAUUAGGUAAGGUUAUUUUGUGAUUUAUAGAUUCUUUCUCUUGACACGAUCGGAGACUUAUAUUUGAAAGUAAGGAGUCCAGAGGAAAAACUGCAAGCUCUCAGCCAGGCAAGAAAACUUUCAAGCUUUGACACGCUUUCACAAAGCUCUAGGUAAGGUUAUUUUGUGAUUUAUAUAUUCUUUGACACGAUCGGACACUUAUAUUUUGAAAGUAAGGAGUCCAGAGGAAAAACUGCAAGCUCUCAGCCAGGCAAGAAACCUUUCAAACUUUCAUUUAAGAGAAACGCUUUGAAAGAGCUAGCUUCGCAAUUCUAGCGAAUCUCACGACGAAUACAGUCGCCAGCGAUGAAUAGAGUUUAUCUCGCUAGCUCUCUCAGCCUGCUCUCGUCGCGACCAUGGCCACAACGAAGGGUUCGUGGACAGCGGGUAGAGGCAACGCUUACUUGCAGUAAUCGGCGGCCAACUUGGGCUUAGUCAUACAGGACGAGAUGAGCGAUGUGCGUGGUGGUGGUGAUAAGAAGUCCAAACUCGAUCACGGCAGGAGGUCGCUCGUCUUGGAGGCUGGAUCGAACUUCAGAUCCAUCUUUCCUCGUAAGAGUUGCCAGUUCUCUGUCUGCGCAGAGACUGAAACAAGUAAAGUUGAACGCAAGUACAGCCAUUAUAAGUUAAGCUUGACUCGGUGAUCAUAUGCGGUUCACUUGUCGGUGGGUCAGAUCAAAGCAAGCUCACACUUUUUUCCUUUUUGUAUUUGCUUGGAGAUGUUUGAGGAGUACCAUGUACACCUCGGCUCUUUUGGCAAACCGAUAUUGAGGGAGUCUAUGUCGCUGACGGCAAUGGCGACGCGGAGGGAGCCCGUGGAGAAUCAUCGCAGCAAGUAGCCUGGCAAGUGGCGUUGUAUAGUUGAUCGAUUGGUGAAGUCGGACUGGGGAAAUAGCAAGUACGAUUCGAUUCAAACAACAAAGAGUAGCCUCCCAAAUUCUGUUGAUCCCGUGCAUUGACGUUCAAACGGAUGAAAUGGCUUUUUCUCCAGUCAAGGCAGAUCAGUUAGCACAUAAAAAAUAUUUCGAGUAUCUUUUAAGCAAGAAAAGUUUAAAUAUAUUUCAUUCUUCUACAUAUUUCUUGCAGAAAAAACAAGGAAUUCAUCCCACAAAACAAACAAGUUUGUUAAUUUUACAACACUUCUAUGAUUUUCUUUAUGAAUUCCUUGGCUAAGAGCGUAUACGUGUGUUCAGUUGGGUGUAUUAUAUCCCAAAAGACGUAAUCGCUUGGAUUCUUGCACAGCCCACUCAAUGUAUUCUUUUGUGAAAGGCAAUUGGGACAACAACCCCCGGCAUUCUUAAAUCCAAACCUCUUUGGGUUCUCCACGUAUGAUUUGAUCAAAGCCAUCCACAAAUGUUCCUUUCAUCCCUGGAAAUCUCUUUGCCACCCCUAAAACAAUCUCCCGAGCUUGCACAUUGAAUUCUUCCACCAGAUUGUUAAUCUCGCCCACACAUUUUCCUCCAGAGGUCACAAUAGGUGAACACCCUAGUGCCCCGACACUUGAGUAGACGAUCUUUCGAAAUCCAUACUUGUAUAGCUGUUCCAAUCCUUUCUCUAAUGACAUUAACAUUGCUUUCAAGUCAAUAUCAGCAAUGUUUUGAAGAUUUGCUGCAAUAUCAUUCCCAGCAGAAGAUAUCACAACCACAAAAUCAUUGAGAUUGAGAUUUUUCUUGGAGAGCUGCACGAGCUGCUUUAGCUGCUCGUUAAACGACACAACGCCCCAGUCCGAGUGAGUAGAGUCGAGUAAGCCACUGCCGUCUGACGCAAAAUUAAUGCUUGGUGGAAGUUGACUCCCAGCUUUCAAGCCCAGGAAUGGUCUUGAAAAGGGCAAACCUAUCGCCUUGUUUAUCAGAUCUGGAAUUAUAAACCCAUCGCUACACCUCCCGGAUGGCUUUCUAAACCUCGUCUCCCCAUAUGGCACAAAAUCACAGUGCGAAACUGAAUUCUUCACAUAUUUGUUUGUGCCCACGUCGAAGAUUGAAUCUCCCAUGUAGAUAGUCCUGAGUUGACCUCCCAUACACGCACACGCAGAGAGCCAAGAUUGCAAAGAUCCUCGACCACUUCGUCAUCUCGCCAAACUUUAAUAUGGCAAAACCUAAUGCACAAGCUAGUUUAUAUAGAGUUAGGGAAAAGGAAAAGGUUACUUCAUCUAAUAAAAGUACCUUUAAAUACUUGAAUGAAAACUAAAGUUUUAGCAAGCAUUGUCUACACGAUAUCAUAGACGACACAAGCUCAUCAAAGUUGAGGAUCGCAGAGAGCCAAGAUUGCAACCACGAAUACUAAGAUCCUCGACCACUUCGUCAUCUCGCCAAAACCUUAUGGCAAAACCUAAUGCACAAGCUAAUUUAUAUAGAGUUAGGGAAAAAGGAAAAGGUUUCUGGCUGUGAUUAAAUAUCGGGAACUAGUUAUGCAAAGCUUAAGGAGAUAGUUGAGUACCUUUAAAUACUUGAAUUUAAACUAUAGCUAAAAUUUUAGCAAACUUUGGAUGCAUUGUCUACAUGAUAUCAUAGACAAUAAUAGACUGAGGAAGGAUGGCAGCAUUAUCAUACACCACAAGCUCAUCAAAGUUGAGUAUCCCUCCCACUUCACCAGACACGGAGUGAUAGCCAUCCGGUGGAGCAACCAACUCGGC
rnacentral:lncRNA from 1 species